CAUUGCUGGACUCCAGAAGCUUCUGAGGUUUGCUCUCUCUCUCUCUCUCUCACACACACACACACACACAAACUGCGUUGUGAGGUAUAUACUUGCCAGAAAUUGUAUUUUAAUUAGAAACAAAACAAAAAAUUGAUUUGAGAGAAGAAAUUCAUGAUUUAAGGUGUGAUAUAUAUGCAGUGAGAAUGGAGGGCUAGGACCGGUGGCAGCGGCGAAAAUCGAGGAGAUCACGGCGGAGCUUAAAACAGCUGACGGCAGCGCCAGCAUCUCAUCGGAGUCAGUUGAGAGGCUGAAAACUGGCUUCGUCACCUUCAAAAAAGAGAAAUACGAGUAAGCCAACACAUCGAUCAAACUUGGUUUAAUUUAUUUAUUUACAAUGCUAAAAAAAAAUGAAUUGCUAACAUCGCAUUGAUCUUAAAAAUUUAAUUCAGGAAAAAUCCAGCUCUGUACGGUGAACUCGCCAAAGGCCAGAGCCCCACGGUACAUAAUUUAUAGUAAUUUUUUUUUUGUAAAAUUUAAUUUAAUAUGGAAUUCCUAUUUUUUUGGAAUAUUUCUCAAAGAAGCAAAUUAAUGUAAUUGUGUACGUAUAUAUAUGCAGUACAUGGUUUUCGCAUGUUCAGACUCGCGCGUGUGCCCCUCGCACGUGCUAGACCUUCAACCAGGUGAAGCAUUCGUCGUCCGUAACGUCGCUAACCUGGUCCCACCAUUCGACCAGGUUUGAAAAUUAAUUAAUAUUUGAUGCUUAUUAAUCAUUUUCUGUUGUUAAAUAACUAAAAUAAGUCAUUUUAAAAAUGAUGAUAAUUAUCAUUUCAGACCAAAUACGCUGGAGUGGGGGCUGCUGUUGAGUAUGCCGUUCUGCAUCUGAAGGUGAACAAAUUUAAUUAUUUGGCAUCUAUUUCUAACACCAAACUUUAAUUAAUAUUGGUGGAGUUUUGAAUUUAUUGAGAUGGAGUAUUAAUUUUGGUGCAGGUGAAGGAGAUUGUUGUGAUUGGGCACAGUGCGUGUGGAGGGAUCAAGGGAGUCAUGUCCUUCCCAUAUGAUGGAUCCUCUUCCACGUAAGCACUAUCUCAUGACAACUCACCUUUUUCUAAUGUUUAGUAUUAUUGAAGUUGCUUACUUAGAUCAUUUAAUUAUAAAAUCAUGGAUAUUUAUUUAUUUCAUUCAUAGCUACUUAUCAAUAAUGUACCAUAUUCAAACUUAAUGUAUUUAAUUGAUGAGUUUGAAUAAAUCGAGUUGAACUUGUGUAAGCUCAUACAUAACUUGGUUUUUUGAAUAAUUAAUGUUUAUGAGAGAGAGUGAUGAUGGUAUGUUUGUUUAGUGACUUCAUCGAGGACUGGGUGAAGAUUGCAUUACCUGCGAAGAACAAGACGCUGGCUGACUGCGGCAAAGACGCACCAUUCGGCGAGCUAUGCACCACAUGUGAAAAGGUCCAUUACACAUUAAAACACAAACAUAUCAUAUGUAUUUCUUAUUUCAUUGAUGUUUUAUUUAAUCCUGGCAGGAGGCGGUGAACGUGUCGCUGGGAAACCUCCUCUCCUACCCAUUUGUGAGGGAAGGAUUGGUGAAGAAGACUCUUUCAUUGAAGGGUGGCUACUACGAUUUUGUCAAGGGAAGUUUCGAGCUGUGGGGGCUUGAGUUCAACCUAUCGCCAUCUCUCUCUGUAUGAACUUUAAUUUAUAAAGUCAUACUCUCUCUCAUCAUCCUACAAUCUUGCCUUUGUAUUUUUAUUUCCUCGUAUAUCACAAAAAUUGGUAAUAAAUGUAAGGACGAGACUCCUUUUUCGUUUGUAUCAUAAUAUAGUAUAACCUUUUUUCUCGUUUAUGUAAUAAGAGUUGAGAUUUCGGGUAUGUAUUUAUUGUGGGCGUUUUUUUGGUUUAUUUUGGCUAUUUUUGAUAGGUAAAAGAUGUGGCCACAAUUAUGCACUGGAAGCUCUUUUAGGAAAAUUGGUAUGAAGCCAAUCUGCAGAGUGAUGGGGUUUCUCUGUAUCCAUAAUCUGCCAGUAAUAAUAAGUACUUUUGUGGAAAGAAAAUGAGUGCUAAAAAUCCUUUUCCUUUUUUUUGUGUUGGAGAAUGAUAAGUAUUUCACCAAAAUGCAGAAACAAAAUUCUCAUGACUAUCUCUGCGAGUACGUUAUAUUUCGAGAUAUGGAUAAUUCUAUGAUGUAUCAAUUACGAUAGCAAGUUAAAAACUUACUAGGAAAAAUAACAAAAGUGAUACCAAAUCAUGGAGGACCGCUACCAAAAUCUUAUAUUUCUGCGCAUCUAAUAUUAUGUAAUCACCAAAUUUUGGAAUUCUUUUUUAUUUUCAUUCAAAAAUAAGGAUAGCAGAUCAACUAGUGAGCUCCCAACAUUGAGACUAGGGUUGUAAAUGAAUCGAAUAUUUUUGCUCGAUUCGAGCUUCGAUUCGAAAUUGUGUUAUUCGUAUUCGAAAUUAUUCGAUUCGUAUUCGAUAACAAGUAUUCGAUUCGAUUCGAUUAGUAUUCAAAUACUUAUAUGAAAUUAUGAUAUUCGAUUCGAUAUUCGCAUAGAUACAUGAUUAAAUAUUUAAAUAUUAUACAUAUAUGUAUAUAUGUGUGUGUGUGGAGGGGUUAAUAUAAAUUAUGAACUCAUUUUCACCAUUUGAUUGUAAAUUUUAGAGUAAAUAUAUAUAACUAUCCACUUUCAUAUUGUAAAGAUAAAAAUUGUCCACUAAGAUAAAAAUAAUAAAAACUGUCCACUUUUUGAUUGAAAAGACGGAAAUACCAUUAACAUUAAAAACAUAAAAAUUAACCAUUUUUCUCUCAUUCUCUCUCUCCUCUUUCUCUCUCUAUGCAAUCCCUUCCCCCUUCUCUUCUCUCUCUCAUCUCUCUCUCCACUCUCUCUCUCAUCUCUCUUUCUCAAGCGACGCUGCGGCGGACCAGGUCAAACAAGGCGGCGAGGCGCGGGCAGAUGCGGCGAAGGAAGCCACCGUCGGCAGAGCCGGGGGAGGUGGACAUCGGCUGGAGGUAUGCCCACGCCGCCUGCUUGACGAGGCGGUUUCGGAUGCAGAUAUCGGAUCCGCCUUGCGUGGAGCUCGACCGCGGCGAGUUGACCGCCGACGUCGGGAGAAGGUCCUUCAGCGAGGUGUAGCUGUGAGAAUUAGGCUUGAUCGACAGCAGCUCGAGAUCGUCGGAAGACGACGACGUGGUGGCGGAGGACGAGCUGUGGUGGUGGUGGUAGAGGAGAUUGAGCUUGGUCGGCGCUACUAUGAUCGAGGAGGGGAUUGAACUCCGGCGGCGGAGCUAGGGGGUUUUGCUGCGGAAACCCUAGAUCUGAAGCGGCGUUCUCGGAUUCGACGGCAAUGUGGUGCUGCGUGGUGGCGCGGAGGCUGGUGAGGAUCUGGUGGUUCUGGCGGCGGAGCUCGGCCACCUGCGCCAUCAGCUCCUCCAUGUGCUUCUGCUUCCGGAGGCGGCUCCGCCGCGCCGACUCGCGGUUGGAGAUCAUCCACUUUCUCUUCCUCAAAUCCAUCGUCUUCUGCAGAUCCUCCUUCGAUGCCGAGUCUGCAGCCCCGAUGAAUUCGACGAUAUUCCACUCGAUGAAUCCAUGGUAGCAGUAGAGAUUCAAUUUUUUUUUCUUGUGUUGGUGAUUGGAAAUUUAUAUUACAUGUGCUUGGUUGAAAUGAUAAUUUUUAGUUAUUGUAAGAAAUAAAAUGAGUAAUAGUAUUUUUUUNUUUUUAGUGAUGAUUUGUGGAUUUUAUUAAAGAGAUUUGAUCGAUUGAAUGAGAAACAUAUUUUGGAUAAUUGAUUAAUGUUCUUGAAUUCACAACGAAAUUUAUGAAUUCACAACAUAAUAUUCUUGAAUUCACGCUCAGAUCUAUGAAUUCACAAUCAACUCGAUGAAUUCACAAUUUAAUAUUCUUGAAUUCACAACUAAAACUUGAAUUCACAACCAAAAUAAAUUCUAAUUUUAGUUGUGAAUUCAAACUUUAAAAACUCAAAUUCACAAUUACUUGAAUUCACAAUCAAAAUAAAUUUUGGUUGUGAAUUAAAUUCUAGUUGUGAAUUCACAAAAAAAAAAUUCUGAUUGUGAAUUAAAUUCUUGUUGUGAAUUCGACUGGUUGUGAAAUGCGGAAUUUUUUAAAGGGAUAGUGUUUAAAGGUCAAAUGAAGUGGACAUUUUUUUAAUUUUUAAUGUGAAGGGCAUUUUGGUAACAGUGGACAUUUUUUUAAUUUUUUAUUUUAGUGGCCAUUUUUUAUCUUUACAAUAUGAAAGUGGACAUUUUACAAAUCCACUCUAAAUUUUAUGGUAGAUUCAUCACUUUAUUGGAUGAAUUUAAUUUUAUAUUCAUCAAUAUCUAAUUAUAUAUAUAAGAAUUAUUGAUGAGGAGUAAUAUAUGUAGAGCAGAGGAAUCUCUUUACCAGUGGAAUCACGGGGAGCAGCGAGGCAGAUUUCAUCAAAAGAAUCGUACUCGCUGGAAGAAUCAUCCUCACCAGAGGAAGCGCACUCGCCAGAGGAACCAUCCUCGCCAGAGGAAUCAUACUCGCCAGAGGGACCAUCAUCGCCAGAGGAAUCGUACUCGCCAGAGGAGCCAUUCUCACCAGAGGAAUCUUGCUCGCCAGAGAAGUCACUUUCGCCAGAGGAGUCUCGCCCACCAGAGAAGUCACUUUCGCCAGAAGGAAGUAACAAAAGCGCGGUGAAAUCUCCCGCGUAAAGACGAAUUUCCUAUAAUACCCUCGACCACGCAAGGCGCAUGCGUGUAUGCUGAUUUUACUAUUUUGCCCUCCCAUGUAAUCUAUAAAUAAGCCCUGAGCUCGUGCAUUGUAACCAACGUUAUCUCAAAUUCUCAAUACAGCAAUAGUUUUUCUCUUGAGUUCUUGCAUUCCGACUGUGUUCUUUGUCUCUUCCGUUCAAUCACACUAGGUAUAGUCUACGUUUACUGCUCUUUAGUCUAGGUGUUGGUUCCUUGUUUCACCAACUGGCGCCGUCUGUAGGAAGUAACUGAGCUAGGAUGUGAGUUUCCGUUCGCCGGCGCAUGCAGAUUCAAAAUUAUGCUCGGAUCUGCGUGCGCAGGCACCGAUCGGGCCGAUAAUUCGGGCACCCAAAUGAAUUCGAGUCGAUUAUCACGUUUUUCGGGUUGAUUUACCUUUAAGCUUCUGCGAUCUGUGUUUAUUUAUGAUUUUUGGUGCAUGGGGAAAGGUGGUGAAAGUCGUAAAUCGUGAAUUGGGAGGAUUUGCGUUUAUUUACCGAUUGAUCGGUUUAAUUGUAGGCGAAUGCAGGGUUUCUUCGUAGAAUUGGGGUUAUACUUACAGAUCUGAUGUUUAUAUCGGUGGAUUGUGGGGUGGUACUCUGUUUCUGUUGUGUUGGGCUUGCGCUAUUGAUUUACGGGUGUUUUUCGCUUAAGGGUGAUAAUUAUCGAUGUUUUCCAUGUUUUUGCGGCUAAUCUUCGUUUUCUACCGGUGGAUUGUGGGGUAUUACUCUGUUUUUGGUUGUGUUGGGUUUUUGCUGUUGAUUUACGGGUUUUGCACCGGUAGUAUGUUGAUUAACACUCCAUUUUUGUUAUGCUGAGUUUAUGCUGUUGGUUUAUGGCUGUUUUUCGUUUAAGGGUGAUAACUAUCGGUGUGUUCCAUGUUUUUACGGUUAAAUCUUUGUUUUAUCCCCUGUUUAAUGCGUUCUGUUAAUAAUCCGGCUGAUUGAUGUGAUGAUUUUAUUAUUUUUGGGCCUUGCGGUUAUUUUAGUGCACGAUCGUGGUAAUUUUGGGGGUGAUGUUCGUCUUUCCUGCAUAAUUCUCAUUUUAUAUCAUUCCUGACAAUUUCGCUAACAAGUUUCGUGGUUGAUGUUUUGUUUAUAUCCGUCUUUGGGUUUUCUUACGAGUUCAAAGGGGAAUUACCUGGUUGUUGCUCUGCCAUUCGUGCUCUGUUAUUUCAAUCAGUGCACUGGGUUUAUUUCCCAGUGCACAGGGAUAUCUUGAGGGAGAAUUUUUAACGGCCUCCGCGCCGGUGUUCGGGAUUUCCUAUUUCGGCAAUUUCAAUCAGUAAAGGAAGAUCUACUCAUUUGUUAUCUGGAUAUAUCUCACAUCGUUUAUGUGUAGGUACUAUGGGAUCUUCAGAUGCCCACCGCACCUUGGAGAAGGAGUUCGACUCCACUGCCCUCACCACUGAGAUGCCUACUUCAUUGUUUAACGGCCUGCAGGGCAGCACCGCCUUUACCACGCCGCCGGGUUUUCAUGCUAUCUCGGCCACCCCGCUAGCAAGACAGAAUGGCAACUUCCAGAGAUCUGCUCUGGUGACACCGGGUUCAGAUACGCCAGGCUUGGUGUCACGACCGGCCCUAAUUAAGGAUAAUUAAGCCGGGAAAACCGUGACUAAUGGAGGGAGAUUAGAAGCGGGGUAGAAAGGGGAUAAUCAAGCAAGGAAGGAUCGCAUUUUCAUCAUUUUUAACAAAGGGGAUAUCUAUAAUAUAACGAAGGUUUAGUCGUAUAAACUCAAAUAACUAGUAAAUUCGGAUAACUCCGACUUAGCCAAAAUAACAUAAAACUUCUAAGUACGCAGCGGAAUAAGGUUCUGAUUACAUGUAUGAAGACAUGUAUCCCCAGAGUUCAUUAAUACAUAAGGAUAAGACAAAAGACUCCGCUCGUCACUUCAUCACCAUCGGCUACUGCUCAACCUGCACAUUUAUAAAUACAUGCAGGGCUGAGUACAAAGGUACUCAGUGGGCACAUAAGCCUAUAAUAAAAUAUAACAUGCUUCGUAAAGUUGUAAAUUGUCAUGCCAUCAUAAACAGUACAACAAGGGGGUUUUUCGCUAAAAAGGCCCAAGCUUACUAAAUUCGUUUGUGAUUCUUAAAGUUCGUCUGCAGACUAAGUUCUCAUAAUCCAUCAUAUCUGAAGCUAUGUGCCGGAGAGGUGGCCACCUCUCACGGUCACUUGACCGGCCAACCCGCUAGAUGACUCACGGUCACUGGUGUACACUAGUCCUAGCAGGAUAGCUAUCAACUGCUCAGGACCCGAAUUCGAUUACAUGAUAACUGGCAAAGCCAUAUCAGAUAGAUAUCAUACUGAAAUUGAAACAUUUUAUGGCAAGACAAUACUUGAAAUAACUUCAAUUAAAGAUUUAGUCAUGAAAUAACUUGCUUGAACGUAACAUUUAAACUCAUUUGAUAUAUAUGAAAGUAAUGCCUACCUGAUUGCAGUUGUUUUGCUACUUAAGACAAUGAUUCUCUUUCCUUAGCGCGAUAGGUUACUCAGGCGCUUUUUGUUUAUUUGAACCUUUGAUAACACGAAAACAUGUGUUCGAGUGAAUAAUAGAAAAGAUAACAACAAAUGCAGUGAAUCACUAUUCACUCAUUUCUCUAACUACCCAUAUUUCCUUAAACGACUAUAUCUAACUUAUAUACAAUCGUUCUUCUUUUAUCGAAAUACUUCAUGUACCUUUGAGGAUGUAGGAAAGCCCAUUUUAUAUUAUUCCUUUAUUUAUCCAUUAUAAAUAAAGAAUAAUUUAUAAAAUAUUUUCCUUUUCCCCAUUUAAUAAUGCCAAUCAAUAUAUAUAUAUUGCUACUAUUAAAAGAACUAAUAAGUCAUUAAUAAAUUCUAAAUAUUAAUUCCUGAUGAAAAUUUCAUUGUGAGAUUUUAGGAACAUUUGUAAAAAUAUUUUAAAAUAAUAAAAGGAGUUAACUAUAAAAGAAAUUUUCGAGAAGAUCUAAUAAUUUUAAUAUUUUAACCAUUUAAUUAAUAAAUCUUUAAUAUUUCAUUUAUCAACUAUUCCAUCUAAUAUAAUUUUACCAACAAGUUCUCAUGAAAUCUUUCUCAGAAUAUUUAUAUAUCUCAAUAGCUCAUUUAUAAACUAAAAGUGAUAUUUUAUCAACAAUAAAACUUUAAAAUCCUUAAUAAGAAUUAUUUAGAAACAUUUCAAUCUCAACAAAACUGUAUAGACUCAACUUCAACUAAUAAACUGCUUUUACUCCGAACUCGUAUGGAGUCGAAUUUUACAUCAAUAGAAACCUCUUUGAGUCUAGUAUGUUGCAAAAACUCCAAGUAGUUUAAGAGAUAUAGCGAUUUUCCCUUCGCGUACCAGAUUCGGCAGUUUCUGCCAACUGAAAGUCCAGAUUUUUGAAAAAUAGCAAACGUUUCCGGAAUGACCUCAAAUUUUAUAUACAGAUAGAUAACGCAUAUAAAUUCAUACCAUAAAAAUUUGAGAGCUAAAUAUCAACAUAUGGUUAUUGAAAUAGUUAACUUAAUCAUCUGCCUCACGACAGUUUCAGCAGAUACUGGCAGUAGAAUUCUUGAAUUUUAAAAGGGUAGUAAACAAAGUUCAAAUGACAUGAAACUUUGCAAAAAUAUAUAACACACUCCCAUCUAUACCCCAGAAAUUUCCCAUAAUAUUAUAGAAACAUGAACGCAUCGAAACAAGGGCGUCAACUUACCCCUGUCCAAGUGAGCACUAAUGGAAGUUGUUCGCCGGGGGUUUUCCGGUCCUCGUUCCGCGAUGGUGUUUAGCCGCGAAGGUCUACGACUUAGUUGUCCUCGUGCGAGGUAGAUCAGGCUACAAAAAGGUGGUUUCUCGAUCCUUUUUCGUCGUAAGGAUGGUGAGAAACGAAGGCCGUAAGUUGGCCGGUUGCUAAGUCGGGAAUUCGACGUUGGCCGCCGAAGGAUAUUGCGGCCUUCGGUCAGGAAAAUACAGAGAAGGUUGCGGCCUUUCGAUUGUUGGAUUUGGUAGCCUGAAGAUGGAGGAACAAGUACACAUUCCCGGUUCACGGCCUAGUGGCUGGUCGGCGAAGAAACGGGCCGGCGAAGGGAGCUCACUUGAGCUUAAGAAAUAUGCAAAGUUGUGAUUUGAAGCUUGUUGGCUUCACUGAAUAUUGUCAAGAGAAUAGCUCUGUACCUUAGAAUUUGCUGAUAAAGUUGUGGUUUGAGCUGAAUCUUUGGAUGUUUAUAAGAGGAAUUCCGUAGACAACGGAUUUAAAAUGGUGGAAAUUUUUGUAGGGAGUUGGAGAAGAUUACUGUAGAACCUUUGAAGAUUUUGGAUUGCACACGAUGGAAAUCUGCAGCUUUUGAAAAUUGUAGAUUGCUGAGAUUUUCUUCAGCCGCCUUUGAAAACUUUGCUCUCGGCGUGAUCAUCUUCUCCUGAAAUUGGGGCUUUUUGGGUGUGAUGGAUUGCAUGGAAGAUAUUGCAGCUGUGAAAAUUGUGGAUCUUGUCGUGAUUUUCCCUUGCUGAAAUCUUGACUAUUUGGAUGGGAUUAACUGCGGAAAAAUGCAGUUUUGAAGAUGAAUAGUUGUGGUAAUGAUAUAUGUUGGAGGGGUUGGUGUAAUAGUGUAGUGAUUCGACUAUUUAUCGUGAUCUAAUUUCUCAUAGUUCGUACUUGUUUCUGUAAUAAUUCUCCAAUUCUCGAUGAUUAAAUACUCGUCGUAUUUAUCUAAAUUAAAUCCUCAGACUAGGGAUUUAAUACUUGAAAGUCGGAAUUAAUUCACGACUUAAUAUUAACUCAUAUAGUGCGAAGUAAAUAAAAUUAUUAUUCGCAUAUGCUCAAGUUAUAAUUCUAUCAACUUGAUCUAAGUAACACGAUUUUUAAAAUCGGUUAUAAGCCUGGAAUUUCUAAUAAUAUUGAUUGAAUCCAUCAAUAGGUAAAAUAAAGUCUCAAACAUGUAACUAAACCAAUAAUUUAAUUAUUGGUUUGAUUCAUGGCUGAAUAUUAAAUCGCUGAAAUAAUAUUAUCUUAAUAUAAAAAUCUCAAGUGAUAAUUAAAUAUGCAAAGAAAUAUCGUAAUUAAUGCAACUAUUUAUUCUAAUAUGUAUUUAAAAGAGCGGGGCAUCACAUACUACCCCCUCUUAAAAUAAAUUUCGUCCCGAAAUUUGCAUAUCUUCGUUAAACAACUCUGGAUAUUUUUCUUUCAUCUUGUCUUCGAGCUCCCACGUAGCUUCUUCUUGUCCAUGGUGCCUCCAAAGAACUUUUACUGAGGUGAUUGAUUUAUUUCGGAGUUGUUGCACCUUUCUAUCUAAAAUUGCUUCGGGUCUUUCUUCAUAGCUCAGGUCUGGAUUAAGGAUCAUCUCAUUUUGGUGUAUCACGUGCUUUGGAUCGAAAACGUACUUCCUAAGUUGUGAUACGUGGAAAACAUUAUGGACAUUUCCUAGGCUUGGCGGUAAUGCCAGCCUGUAAGCCACUGGGCCUAUUCUUUCUAGGAUCUCAUAGGGUCCUAUAAAUCGGGGUCUAAGUUUCCCUUUAACUCCAAAUCUAAUGAUCCCUUUUGAUGGAGAAACUUUCAGAAAGACUUUUUCUCCAUUCUCAAAUUGUAAGUCAGUUCGGCGUUUAUCAGCAUAUGACUUUUGUCUAUCCUGGGCCUCCUUAAUCCUCUGUCGGAUUUGGCGAACGAUUUCAAUCAUUUCNAGUCAUCUAACGGGUUGGCCGGUCAAGUGACCGUAAGAGGUGGCCACCUCUCCGGCACGCAGCUUCAGAUAUGAUAGAUUAUGAGAACUUAGACUGCAGUCGAACUUUAAGAAUCACAAAUGAAUUUAGUAAGCUUGGGCCUUUUAGCUAAAACUCCUUUGCUGUACUGUUUAUGAUGGCAUGACAAUUUACAGUUUUGAAGCAUGUAUUUUUAUACUUAGGCAUACGUGCCCACUGAGUACUUUUGUACUCAGCCCUGCAUAUAUUUCUAAAUGUGUAGGUUGAGCAGCUGGUGGUGGUGAUGAAGUGACGAGCGGAACCCUUUUGUCUUAUCCUUAUGUAUUAAUAAACUCUGGGGAUACAUGUCUUCAUACAUGUAAUCAGAACCUUAUUCCGUUGCUUACUCAAAAGUUUUAUGUUAUUUUGGCUAAGUCAGAGUUAUCCAAACUUACUAGUUUAUUCGAGUCAAUAUGACGAAACCUCCGUUAUAUUAUAAAUAUUCCUUUUGAUAACAAUGAUUAAAUACGAUCCUUCUUGGUUUAAUUAUCCCCCUUUCUACCCCGCUUCUAAUAUCCCUCCCUUAGUCACGAUUUCCCAGAUUUAAUUAUCCUUAAUUAGGUCCGGUCGUGACAGAGUGGUAUCAGAGCAGUUCAUUUGCUCUGAACCCUAGAGUUGACCAAUUUUCCUAGUAUGAUUACUAGCAUGAAAGAGUCAGUCGACUAAAGCUCAUCACUUCAUCACAUCGUCCUGCUUAGCAAGAAAGAAAGUGGUAAUGAUUUUAAAAUAUUGAGAAGUUCACGUUUAUAUGAAUGUACUGAUGCUUACAUUCAAGUUUUAUGCUUUAUUGAUUGAUUAGAUAUCUCCAUGAACUUAGAUGCGUUAAGAAUGCAUGAUCACUGUUACGAGAAGAACAAUAGGAGCUACAAACUCAGUUAUAUUUCACUAUAGCCAUGGUGAAGAGCCAAGAAAGAGGAAGAGAAUCCAAUGAAAGCAGUGCAAGCGGAGUGCCAUGCACGAAUCACUAACGCAGGCAUAGUUCUUCAUUCAGGUUGUUCACGCGAGACGGAACACCUAAUCGACUAUUGCCUUAUUCGAUGAUUGUUUAAGUAUGAUAUUGCUUAUAGCGAUGAGUGCGACUUAUGUAAUCAGUUAGCUAAUCCCUAAUAAGCUGAGACUCACUUCUAGCCUCGAUAUCACUAGCUAUGGCUUGAGGAUAACCUUCAUGAUUCAUGUAUGAACUUCAGAGUUAGACUUACGAGGGGUCAAAAUGCUUUAUAUAUGAUGUUAUAAUAUUACGAUGAAAGCUAUCAGCUUAUAGUUUCAGAUAUUCGGAACCAUUCUACUUACAGUACCUAUCGCAUUAGAUGAGGACAUGACUGAGAAUCCCUAUUGAUUACGAUCACCUACUACGAAUUGGAAAGACGAGGUGUGAUAUGGGUAUUGGCAGUUACCAACCAUUAUGAUUGAUCAUAAAAGUUUACGCAAGUGUGUAAGACGAGAGAAGUUCUCGAAGAUGGUUCAGAGUUUAAUAAUAGCUAGAAGCGCCGACAGUGGAUCGAUGCUGAAAUAAAUGAAUUAAGAUUCUAAUGAGACCCUAAGGAUAUACUCAAGAUAAGUAUACAUACCUUAACCUAUCAAGGACAUCGCCUCAGUUAGAACGUCUUGGAUUAGGCAUUUAGUUUAGUAGCCGGAGUGAGAGCAUUGACUAAGGUCAUUCCAUGACUUAGCAUUACGUAUGGUGACAAAUCCUGUAAAGAUGCUCAGAGGAGCAAAAUCUAUUUCCUUAUUGAAGGCGUGAUGAUUCAGAAGGUGUUUUGCAAUGACACGGAAGAGUGCUUCAAAUUACAUGGUUGCAUUUCAAGAGCUAUGUGAAGGAACACUAAGUACUAGAAGUACUACAUUAAGAUCAUGUAGUGGAACAUUGUUGAGUAAGGUUGAGCCUACCUUAUUUCGUCUAUAGAAGAUGUUUAGGGAUUGCAUUAAAUUAGGAGGCAGACUCCAAGUUUGAGAAGCUCUAGAAUAUUCUCAAGGACAUGUUCAAGAUGUUAGGAAGAAAGUGGUGAUUUUAGACCAAAUAUACCUUUUGCAGCCAAUGAACAAGAGUACCAAGUUCGGAAAAGUAUUUUCGAGUGGCUGAGAAGUAGUUGUGUCGGACCUGGCCAGUCCACAUGGCCAAAAUCUCAGUAGUCGUCAUAUAUGGGUCUUUAAACCUAUAUAUUUUAAACCUUCAUUUGAAAAGCCAAACGGGUUCAGACCAUUAGGUCAUUUUGUUUCGACUUUUCAGUCAAUUCAUUUCUACCCUAUGGUUAUUCAUUUUCAAUUGUUUGGCAAAUUAUUGAAACACCUUGCCUAAUUGCCAUUUGUGAUUUGAAUCAUUGUGAUCCACUAGUUGUUGGUAGAUUUUCUGUGACCCAAGGACAAACAGGUACUCAUCAGAUUAAAUCAGUCAGACACGUAUGUCUCGACCCAAGGGUCAAGCGCAUGAUGCAUCUAGACCUUCUCGUAUGUAUUUAGUAGGAUGUUACUUGUGUAUUCUGGAAACGAUGAUUGUUUCGAUGCUUUUGCAUACCGCUAUGUUGGCUUGGUUAUUUUUGCUAGUAUUAGUACGGAAAUGCUGGCCCACAGGCGUUCCACGACCAAGUUCCCUUGCGAUGGCGUACUAGACAGCCAUUCAUAUUGUGUAGUCCUUGGAUAGAGCAAUAGAUCUAAAUUCAGAAAUUGAUGUACAAGUCCUCAUCAGGGCAAUUUUCCUAUGUCUCUAUGACAACUUUAUCGUUCUUUUGCGGCAAGUCACUUCUGCCACAUUUACUUAUAUGUUAGCAUGAGAAAGAGUAUAAGCAAGAUUGAGAAUCAAAAAAAAAAAUGAGCAGAAUUGAUGAUACGCAUCAAUAUUUUUUUUAAGGCAUAGAUGACUAUAUGUCAACUCAUCGGAGAGCCACUUAAACAAAGGCAUCCAAGAAAAGGGGGGAGAAUUCGUUGAGAUGAGGAAUUAGGCCCAGUACCAGGGCCAGAACAAACCAUGGCCCCACCACCCAUACAACCAAAACGUAGAAUAGAUGAACUAUUUGUGUGAUAAAACCCAGCUGUCUUCAAUGGAACAGGAGACCCAGCGGGGGCUGAGGCUUGGGUACGAGCUAUUCAGCGCAUCUUCAAUUUCUAGCGUUGCACAUACUAGGAACAUCUUACUUGCGUGUCUUUUCAACCGACCUCUUGUGAGAAACACAGAGGAAGACAAUGGCGGUAGAGCAAUUGGAGAUUAUAAUGUAGGAGUAGAUUGAGACGUGCAUAUAUAACAAGUAUGGGACUCCACCCUGCCCAAAGUGGAACAAGAACCAUGGGAAACUCUCCAGGACUGGUAAUGAAGGUUGUUGCACAGCAACUGGAAUGAAUAUUAUGCAAAUCGUUACCCGAAUAAGCAACAAAGGGCGGGUCUCAGGCUAAACUCGCCUGUUCAGACUCCGCAUUUGAGCAAUCCAAGCUUUGCCCAACUAUACCAAGAGCAGUAACCACGCCAGCGGCAGCAACAACAAUAAUAAUAGCACAUGUGUGCUUGAAUUUAGAGCUGAGCAUAAAAUUAUUCAAAGUUGUAGUGAACAACUCAUAUGUUAUGCCGAUGAGAGACGUAUACAUCAACUUAUAAAAAGUUGAACGAGGUGACACUCAAGAACAGGUAUCCUCUAUUGAGGAUAGAUGACUUUUUCAAGCAGCUCAGAGGAGUGAGUGUGUCCUCAGAGCUAGAUUUAAGGUCUAGGUACCAUCAACUAUAGAUUCGAUAAGAAGAUGUUCCCAAGAUGGUCUUCCGAACCAGAUAUAGACAUUAUGAGUUCGUGGUGGUGUCAUUUGGAUUGACCAAUGCACCAGCCAUGUUUGUGGACCUCAUGAACUGAGUGUUCCACCCAUACUUAGGCAAGUUAUCUUAGUUUUCGUAGAUGAUGUCUUGAUCUACUCGAAGAAUGAGAAGGACCAUGAGAAACACCUGAGGAUAGUCCUAAAAACAUUGAAAACAAAGCAUCUUUAUGCCAAGUUCUGCAAGUGCGAAUUUUGGCUCAACAAAGUCACUUUUUCGGGACAUAUUAUCUCAUUAGAAAGGAUCAAAGUGCAUCCUGAGGAAGUACAAGCUGUACAUGAGUGGAGAUCGCCUACUAACCCCAAUGAGAUCAAAAGUUUCUUGGAAUUAGCAGGUUGCUAUCAGAGAUUCAUAGGAGGAUUUUCCAAAAUAGCAAAACCAAUGACCCAAUUACUCAGGAAGGGAAUUAAAUUUCCUUGGACAGAAGUAUGUGAGAAAAGAUUUCAAGAAGCUCAAGGAGAAGUUAACCAUAGUUGUUCCAACAGCCGACAAAGAAUAUGUGAUUUAUACAGACGUGUCCAAGGAGAGUACUUAGUUGCAUGUUAACGCAAGAAGCAAGAGUGACAACAUACGCAUCACGAUAGCAUUGACCACAUGAAUUGAACUAUCCUACUCAUGAUCUACAAUUAGCUGCAGUAGAGACACUACCUAUAUGGAUUUAGGUGCGAGAUAUUCACAAACCAUAAAAAGUCUGAAUUACUUUUAGCAAAUGGAUCUGUACAUGAGACGAAGAGGAUGACUAGAACUAGUAAAGGACUAAAUGUGGUAUUAACUACCACCCAGGCAAGACUAACAUGGUAGCUGAUGCCUUGAGUCGUAAGGCUCAAUCUAAAUCGGAAUUAUCCUCACUCUGGAGGGAAACUCAUUAAAGAUAAUUGUAGAAUGAGUUUAAAAGUGGUUCAACUACUAGAAUCAGUGGAAGGCAUUAUUGCCACAAUGAUAGUAACACCCAAUUUGAGAGGAAAGAUGUUAGAUACACAAGGAAAUGACGAGACCUUAGAGAAAAUACAUUUAGCAAUAAGAUCAGGCAAGCCUGGAUGUUACCAUGAGACAUUGGAUAAUGCAUUAAUGUUUGAAGAGAGAUUGUGUAUCCCACACGAUGAGAAACUCAAAGAUGAGAUAAUAAGCGAGGCUCAUGACAAGCCAUAUACUGGCCACCCGGGAAGCACAAAUGUACCAGGACAAUGAAGGAAAAUUCUGGUGGGAAUGUAUGAAGAAAUAUAUAGCUUCACUUGUUGAGAUAUGCCUAGCAUGCCAACGAGUGAAUGCUUUUCACUAAAGAUCAUAUGGAAAGUUACAACCACCAAAGAUUUUAGAUUGGAAGUCGGAGCAUAUUGCAACAAAUGUUGUGACUAGUUUACGAAGACGAAAUGAGGAAACGCUGUCUUUUGGGUAAUAGUGGAGUGACUCACGAAAUGCGCUCGUUUUAUAAUAAUACAGAUCACAUACGGAUCAGACAAGCUAGCAUAAUUGUAUGUCUGAGAGAUUGUGCGCUUACACGACGUGCCGUGUUAAAUCACUUCAGACCGAGACUCGAAGUUCAUAUCUAGAUUUUGGAUGAGCUUGUAGAAGGAGUUAGGCACAAGGUUAAAUUUCAGUACCGCCUCCCACCCACAAUCAGAUGGAUAGUUUGAGAGACCAAUUCAGACUCUCUUAGACAUAUCUUUGAGUAGCAGUACUAGACUGAGGUGGGAGUGGGGAAUCAUUGUUGCCAUUGAUUGACAUUGUAUACAACAAUAGUUAUCAGAAAACCAUCGAUAUGGCGCCUUAUGAGGCAUUAUAGGAAAGAAAAUGCAAAUUACCAAUUAACUGGAAGAGGUAGGUGAAAUGAGAAUUUUAUGACCAUGCAUGAUCAAUGAAACGAUUGAGAUACUUCGAUAGAUCAGAGAAAGAAUAAAAGAGACACAAGAUAGGCAGAAAUCUUAUGUUAAUACGCACCGAAUUGAGUCACAUUUUGAAGUAGGAGAUAAGGUUUUCCUAAAGGUAUUUUCCUCUAAGGGAAUAGCUAAGUUUGACGACAUAGAAAAGCUUAGACCCCGAUUCGUGGAAUCAUAUAAGAUUUCAGAAAAUAGGCCCAAUAGCCUAUAGAUAGGCGCUAUCGCCAAGUGAUGUGAAUGUCCAAUGUUUUCCACAUUCCUCGACUUAAGAAGUAUGUUUUCGAUCCGAAGAGCGUGACUAACCAUAACAAAAUGAUUCUUAGCCCAGACUCGAGCUAUGAAGGAAGACCAAAAGCCAUGUUCGUUUGAGAAGACACAAUAGCUCAUGAAUAAGUCUAUCAAUUAGUGACAGUCCCAUCGAGACACCAUGGAUAAGAAGAAAUUAUGUGGGAGCAUGAAAGCAAGAUGAGCGAAAAUGCCAGAACUUUUUAGCACAGAUAUGCAAAUUUCAGAACGAAAUUUUUGUUAAGAGGGGUAGUAUGUAGUAGCCCACUCUUUUAUUUUAUGAUUAAGGUCAGUAAAUGCGAUAUUUAUUUAUUGCAUCUUCAGUUAUGAUAAAUCAGUGAUUACUUAUUAGUUAAUUCAACCCACAUAACCUGAAUUAGAUGUCAUUGUGUGAUAUGAUCACGAUUGAAUAUUUGAGCAGUCAAUGUUUUAUUUUUAUUUUUAAAUUAAUAACUGACUUAGCAAAGUCAAGUUAUUAUUUUACAUGCAAUAGGUAUAUAUGUAUUUCUAUUAUUUUCCUGAAGUCGUGAAUUUGAUUCCGACUAACAGAGUGAGUUAAAUUAGAUAUUAAUUCGUAGAGGUUUUAUAACGAUUACCAGAAUUCGAAAAAUUAGAUAUAUAGAUCCUCGAUUGAUACAGAAUUUUAGGAUUUUAUUUGUCACCUCAAGACUCUCCAACACUUACACUCAAAGUCCUUUUUCCUACUCUACUGCACAGUACACGCAUAUUUUCCAACAAUUACCAUCAACAAUCUUUCCUGCUACUUCCUACAAGGCUACAAUACUAUUCCCCAUCUGCAAAGGAAAAAAAAAAGAGAAGGGGGACAAGAAAGAAAAAAAAAAGGGAAAACUUGUGUGUAGAGAGCAGCUACAACAGCUACCCUUUCAUCCUCUGCAACCCUCUAUCCACUCAAAGCCCAUAUGGGAUACGGAAAGGAACAUCAGCCACCCUAUAUGAGCUCACAUCAGCCACCCUAUAUCUGUAGACCACUUGAGUAUGAGCCAACAACACCACUUCUUGUAUUUCAGCCAUCAAGUCUCUCUUCUUCCCUCACUAACACAUGCUGAAGAAGCUAAGAAAGGGAGAGAGAGUUUCCUCCAACUCCAACUCCAAACUGUACCUUGAAGAGAUUUUUCCCAACGAAUCCCUCAGCUCAACCUAGUUCAAACACAUUAAAAGGUCAAGUAGGCGAGUAAAAGCUAGUCAGGAGUCACUAAGCUAGGGCAAAGGUUUGCUUAUCAGGUGGGCAUUACUUUCAUAUAUAUCAAAUGAGUUUAAAUGUUACGUUCAAGCAAGUUAUUUCAUGACAAAAUCUUUGAAUUGAAGUUAUUUCAAGUAUUGUCUUGCCAUAAAAUGUUUCAAUUACAGUAUGAUAUCUAUCUGAUGUGGCUUUGCCAGUUAUGUAAUUGAAUUCGGGUCCUGAGCAGUUGAUAGCUAUCCUGCCAGGGCUAGUGUACACCAGUGACCGUGAGUCAUCUAGCGGGUUGGCCGGUCAAGUGACCGUGAGAGGUGGCCACCUCUCCGGCACGCAGCUUCAGAUAUGAUAGAUUAUGAGAACUUAGACUGCAGUCGAACUUUAAGAAUCACAAAUGAAUUUAGUAAGCUUGGGCCUUUUAGCUAAAACUCCCUUGCUGUACUGUUUAUGAUGGCAUGACAAUUUACAGUUUUGAAGCAUGUAUUUUUAUACUUAGGCAUACGUGCCCACUGAGUACUUUUGUACUCAGCCCUGCAUAUAUUUUUGAAUGUGUAGGUUGAGCAGCUGGUGGUGGUGAUGAAGUGACGAGCGGAACCCUUUUGUCUUAUCCUUAUGUAUUGAUGAACUCUGGGGAUACAUGUCUUCAUACAUGUAAUCAGAACCUUAUUCCGCUGCUUACUCAAAAGUUUUAUGUUAUUUUGGCUAAGUCGGAGUUAUCCAAACUUACUAGUUUAUUCGAGUCAAUAUGACGAAACCUCCGUUAUAUUAUAAAUAUUCCUUUUGAUAACAAUGAUUAAAUACGAUCCUUCUUGGUUUAAUUAUCCCCCUUUCUACCCCGCUUCUAAUCUCCCUCCCUUUGUCAUGGUUUCCCCGGCUUAAUUAUCCUUAAUUAGGUCCGGUCGUGACAAUCAGGCUCAAGAAAACUAGAUUAAUACUUUUUAUUCAGGGAACAAAUCAAAAUUCAAUUGAAUCAAUUGACAAAUAAUUAAAUCUCACAGAUUAGACUAGAUCAUUAUUCUCACCGAAUCAAGAAAAUUAGCUAUUAAUGAAAUAAAACUCAACAAAGAAAAAAAAAUCAUAAUAAAAUAAAAACAAUAAGAAAUCAAUUCAUAGUUUCAUACUAAUCAUGAAUUAUUCUUCAAACUUGUGCACAAAAUAAAACUAUAGCUCCUAUGAAUUGCCGCCUCCAGCUGCUAAGAUGAGUGCCUCCANUCAAUUGCCGCCUCCAGCUGCUAAGAUGAGUGCCUCCAAUUAAAACUUAUCGCCCCCUGACUUGUUAAUUAAUUGGCAAAGAGAAGUCAGAAUAUAAUUACUUCCUAAUGGCCCAUGCACUAUAAUAAUAAUAAUAAUAAUAAUAAUAAUAAUAAUAAUAAUAAUAAUAAUAAUAAUAAUAAUAAUAAUAAUAAUAAUAAUAAUAAUAAUAAUAAUAAUAAUAAUAAUAAUAAACAAAUCAUUAUUCACUAGAUCAGACUUCGACUUCUUGUGCUUGCUUCGUUAAUAAUUUGCAUCAAAACACUUCUUUUCUGCUAUCUUUUUCUCGAUUUCAUUAACAUCAAACUCUUCAAUAUGGUGUUACAAUAAUCGAUUUCAGAAGAUAUUUGAAGUUGAUGAAAAAGUCUGAUUUAUGCUUGAAGAGCUUAAGACAAAAUGGAUAGGUCGUUUCCUAAUUAAUCUAGUCUGUUUGACCAGACGGGGCAAUGGAGAUUAAGAGUUUGGAUACGACAAAGAUAUUUACAGUCAAUUAUCACAAAUUGGAGUAGUGCCAUGAUGCAUCUCACAUAACGAUAGUGGAAUAAAUUUCACUGUUACCUCUGAUGAGAAUCUGAUUGCAUCAAAAAGUCUAGCCAAAGACUUAAAACAAAGGCACUAUUGGGAGGCAAUCCAAAUUUCUUCUCUUGCGUCUUGUUUACUUAGUGUUUUCUUGAUUUUGUUUUGUUUCUUCCUUUUUUUCAGCUAUCGCCGCCACUCUCAUUUUAUCCUCCAUCGUACCACAUCCACAAGUUGCCACCAUCGAGCCCAGAAAGAACAUUAUUGAAAAUGGUGACAUUUUUCCCUUCUUUGAGUUUUUAGUUUAUUUCCUUUCUUGUGUCUAACUUUGUGUUUCUUUGUCCUCCUUGUUUAAACUUUUUCUUUGUUUGCUUGAGGAGAAGCAAAUGUUAAGUGUGAGGAGGUUGUGUCUUUGUGUCAGUUUAUUGAGUCCUUUUUAUUUUAUUUUAUUUUAUUUUGUCGUGUCUUGUUGAGCCAAGUAGAUUACUAGAUUUGUUGAUGUUUAUGGACAUUCCUUACUUAGUUGAGUCUUGUUAUUAACUUGGUGAAUCAAUAUGUUGUUAAGUGGUGAAAUGUGAUCUAAAGUUUGGAGAAUUAUUUGAAUGAAAUAUGGGAUGACGAAAUAGGGCAAUAAUUGAAUUUAUUUAACCCUCAUUAAAUAAGAUUUGAGCUUGAAAUAGUAGAGCACCCUCUACUUUGAUUAUUUCUUAGAUGAUUAUUUACAAGGUUGCGAUAUCAUGUGUGUCACGUGUAAUAAAUGAUAGAAGGAACUAGGGCAAACCAAUUUUGGCAUGCGUUUCAUUGCUUGACCCGUAGAUUAAUCCCUAUUAGUGAGCUAUUUUGAAGCAUUGACCAUGUUUCUUUCGUACAAGUCACUAAAUAUUUAACCAAGACCUACUUUGUUACCUUGGUCCCUUCCUCAACUAUUUUGCAGUCUUCUCGAAGAAUUGGUUUAGAGGACUUGCUAAUAAACAACAGAAAAAAAAAUCGAUAGGGAAAAAAGAAACAAUUAACAACGUUCCCUAGCAACGACGCCAAUUUGGUGGUCGUCGUAUACCACCAAAUAAUUCCUGCAACCAGCUAAGAAUUAGAAUAGUAUAGCAAUAAGGUAGAACCACAGAGAAUAGAUUAAUAAUCUCAAUUUCCUAAAGCCCGAUUUCGUUGUAGCCGCCACGCCUAAAAUGUGUGAGAUUGAUUAUAAAUUAAGAAAAAUCAACUAAAAUAACAAAUAAGAAAUAAAUCAAGAAUAAAACAGACUCGAUUUUGAAUAAAUCCACACUAAUACUACUCUGAUCAUAGACGCAGAGAUAAAUUUAUUCUCAUGGACCAACCAGUUAUAGGAUACCGUGAAUGCAGUGGACAUACCCUAAUUCUCACUUACUUUAUCGAUAGUUAGUUGUAGACGAUAGACCUAACUAUUUCCCUCAUCAAAACACAACCUAGUUGAAAACGUCAAAUCUAGAUUUAAUGUUUCAAUAACAUUAAGAUAAAGGAACCUGAUUUAGACAAAUUACCCAAGAAACAUCAGUAACAAUUCGUCUACCAAUUUGUUCCCUACUAUCGAUACGAUAACUUCAUCACUAAUCAUCCCGAUUCCAACAAUUACGAAUUGGGGGAACUAAUUGCCACUAAUUUGAACUAAUCUAAGGUGAUCAGGCUAAAAAAAACCAUAUUAAUACUCUCUAGACUAGUAUUUCAUUAUUCUCAUCUAAUCGAAUCAAGAAAAUUAGCUACUCAAAAUUAUUCAAAUAAAACUCAACAAAGAAACAAAAAAUCAUAAUGAAAUAAAAAUAAAAAGAAAUCAAUUGAUACUAAUCACCGAAUUAUUCUUCAAACUUUGUGCACAAAAAUAAAACUAUAGCUCUUAUCAAUCGCCGCCAGAGACCUCCUAGUCCCGCCGUCAAGAUAAGUGCUCCAAUUAAACUUAUCGCCACCUGACUUGUUAAUUGUCAAAGUAUAAUUAUUUCCUAAUGGCCCAUGCACGGUCCUAAUAUGAUGGGCCCGUGAAUCUUAUUAACAAUAAUAGAAUAGAAUAAUAAUAAUAAACAAAUCAUUAUUCACUAGAUUAGUCUUCGACUUCUUGUGCUUGCUUCUUUAAUACUCCAAAAUCUUUUUUUUUUCUGCUAUCUUUCACUCGAUUCUAUCGAAAUCAAAUUCUUCAAUUUCUGCACCAAAAUUUAAAACAUAAUCUAUUAAAAUAUUUAUGUCUGAAGAAAGAUAUUAUAUUUCAAGCUUUAGCUUUUGUCUUCCAGCGGAACGACCAGGCAACAGUCUAAGCCACACCAAGAAUAACACCAUUAAUUUUAAGUUUUCAUCACGCCAUGGCCAUUUUGCGCAUCGUUGAUCACAACUAUCAAUCCACCAAAAUCCAGAUGGAACGAUUCAAAGAGACUCAAUGUCAUCACUCACCAGCCAAUCUUGAUUUUCUUUAAAUGUGUUUUUGUAAAGAAGCUUACAAAUUUUUUAACCCAAUUCUGCGCAUAUGUUAAAACUUGGUUAGGAUGAGAAGUUGAGGCAGCGACAGAAAUUUGGGAGGUGGAAACAUAAAUAAGAAAUUUGGGAGACAAGUUCAGUGGUGCCAGUGAUAUUGCUAGAGAAAAACAAUAUGUAUACCUAUUUUAAUUAGGUGAUGGGGAUGUAUUGGGCUGUGUUGUGUUUACAUAUACCCAUUUCAAUUAGGUGGUGGGAAUGUAAUGGGCUUGCUCAAAUGAGCUUUGGACAACAAUAUAAAAUUUGGUUGAAUAAGUUUAAUAUUUUCUUAAUUGCAUGUGAAAUGGUGAAAGUGAAUUCUAGAUGAAAAUAUAGUUAUAAAAAAAAUCUGAAUUAGAAAUUAUGAUUAUACAUAUAUAUUGCCUUUUAUUUACAUAUUAUUAAGUUAGAUGAUUAAAAGACGAAAUGGUUGACAACAUGUUUUGAUAUAGGCUUACCUAUGGAUAUAAAAUAUUCCUUUAAUCCCAAUUCAAUAGGCAAGAAGAUUUGAACACGAAUGCUAAAAAACAAAUAAUUUAUUAAAAUAGAAAAGAGAAAGUAAUAUUUUUUAGGAUAUAUUUAUCCAAAAAAUAAGGGAGAUAAAUGAAGAUAUUAUUCUUUCAAAUGAAAUGAGAGAUAAUUAUGUGUGGGCCACAAUGAUAUUUGAUGUAAAUAAUGAGUUUUAUGGGGAUAUUUGUUAUGUAUUGACUUUCCAUUUUAGGAAGUGAUUUAUUAUAAUGAGACAUCCAAAUAAAGAAAUAUGAUCUAUUGAUUGAGACAGAUAGGGUAAUUUUAGUAAUUUUGCACACAUUUAUUAUGAACUAUUUUUUGCAAAAUAUACGUGUUUAUACUCCCCCGUCCUGCGAAAUUUGAGCAGUAUUCCUUUUCAGGUUGUCUCCCGAAACUUGAGCAUUUUCCUUAUAUGACAAAAGUUUUUCCCUUUAGUCACCUUUUUAUUUUUCACCUACCACACUAAACACACAAAAUACUAACUUUUUAAAACACUGUCGAAAAGAAAUUGCUCAAAUUUCGCGGGACGGAUGAAGUACUUUUUUUUCUUUAUAUACUUAAUUGUAAAUGUGGCGUGAACAUUUAAGGCGUACAAUUUUAUUAUGGGACAAAUUUUUUAUAUAUGUGCAGUAAUUAUAUGGUUGCUACUAUAAAAUAAUACCCUAACAUAUAAGAACAAAUUUGUUAUCUAUAAAAUAGAAUUUCACAAUUUCUCAUUCUUCAUUUUCACUUCAAGGAUAAAUAAUAUUAACCCUCCAUUUUUUAUGUGAUGAUACUUUCCUUCUUGAAGCGAAAAAUGAUGAAUAAGAAAGAUUGGAAUUCUCUUUUGUAGGAAAUAAGACAAAAGAAAUGUCACGACCCAACUUAACUACGGAUAGAUAAGUCGAGGAACCGUGACUAGGGAAGGAAAUUAGAAGAGGGUGAUAAAUAAUAUUGAGGGAAUUGAAAUAAGACCGAGAUAUAAUUAAAAUGCGGUUUUAUUAAAAAAGAAAAGAGAAAAAACCAAAUAAACCCUUGAAAGCACAAGAGAGCAGACUAAGGGUCGAGCCUCAUUAAAACCUCUUUAAGGAAAAUCCAAAGGGGAAAACCAUAAAGAGGAAAAAGAUUACUCGUCUAAAAUAAACCAAAAAACAACCAAAAGGAUGAGGAGCGGAGUUGAGAUGAUUUCUAGAGCUCCGGCCGAACCAUCGCCCUAAAACCAUCUUGGUUCCCACAUCCAAGACGCAAAACAAAACAAAAAGUAAAAAAACAAGCUAAAAAACGAACAACAACAAACAAUGUUGUUUAUUAAGGUAAAAAUAGACUGAAUCAUUUUUAAGCUCUUGUAACGAACAUAUGUAGAAGUUCUUAUUAUGAAAUGAAAAUGUUAUUUUUGUAUAAUUGAUUUAUGCUUAAAUUGCUCUAUUUUUAAGGGUUUGUAUGUGCGUAUUUUAAGAUAAUCUUUUGGAAAUUGGUGCAUUUUAUGGUGUAUUUUAUGCUUUGCAGGAGAUUUAGGCUUUCGAGAUGGAAGAAUGCAAUUUUGGAGAAUUUUGGAUGAAUUUGGCGUUUUCUAGGUGUUCUGGUCUCCAGAGCAGAGGAACCGACAUCUCCAGAGCAGAGAAGCGCCAGUGUCAGAAAAGCGAAGCUCCAGUGCAGCGAAAUCAAGAAGCCAGAGCAGAGGAACUGACAUCUCCAGAGCAGAGAAGCGCCAGCAUCAGAGAAGUAAAGCCCAGCGCGCAAUAGUCAGAGAAGUGAAAAGUCAGAGAAAUAAGUCAGAGCAGAGAAAUCACCAUUCCUCUGGCAAUAGCCAUUUCUCUGGCGCGACCCAUUCCUCUGGUGAUAGCCAUUUCUCUGGCGAGGUCCGUUUCUCUGACGACAGCCGUUCCUCUGGCGAGAGCUGCGAAUUCGGCAAGAGUAGGAGUGUUUUCCAGAGCGUGCAUCCAUCUGGAGAGUUGCCUUAUUUUACACGAUUCUAUUACCUUUAGAAUUCUACUUUGCAUGGCAACUUCCAUGGUGAUCGAAGGAAAUCUGAAAACUAUAAAUAGGUCCUCUUUUGACCUAUUCAAAAACCCCAACAUUCAUAUUUCAGUUUUAUAGCUUUAGAAUAUUUUAGCUUUCUAGUUUUCAAGGCUUGGAUCAAGAUUGAAGAUUCAAGCCGCUACAAUCGUUUUCAUUUGGUUUUUAUACAAUUUGUUUUUACAAUUGCAUUCAAUUUAAUUAUGUUUAUGUUUGAUUUUAUUAUGUCUGGCUAGUUCUUUUAUUCUGAACCUAGGGUUUGUAUAUAGCUGAUUGAUUAUGUGUUUUUGAUUUAUUGAUAUCAAUUUGCCUUCCAACUUAUGAUUCAUGAUUCCUGGUGCUUAUUAUUCUUGUGAAUUAUCUGAUCAAUGAUUUACAUGUUUAGCUGUUCAGUUUGAGUCUUGAAUGCGAUAAUUGUUCAGCCGAUUCAGGAAUGCAUGAUAUAGUGUUAGCCUUGAGUCUUGAAUGCGAUAGGUGACACUACUACAAAAUUACACAUACAUAACACUUCAUACAUAACGGUUUUUUUAAAAAACCGUUAUGUAUGAGCGCAUUUUUUGAAAAGAUAACGGUUUUGACAAAAAACCGUUAUCUAUGUACUGUUGUCCAUGGAAAUAGAUAACGGUUUUAGUGAAUCCGUUAUGUAUGAGCGUUAUCUAUUAGUUGCAUACAUAACGGUAUUACCAAACCGUUAAGCCAACCGUUAUGUAUGAGCGUUCUUUUAUAACGGUUGUUUUAACCGUUAUAUAUGAACGUCUCAAAACUAGUUAUGUAUUAUAUUUAUUUUAAAUUUAAUAAUAUUAUAAAAUAAAACCCUAAAUCCCUCCCUUUACCCCCUACUCUCUCUCUCUCGUCCUUCAUCUCCCCAGCUUUCUCUCUCUCUCAACUCCGGCCAUAGAAGCACGCCUUCCCUCUGUCCUCUGCGGCCGCAGCAACGAUAGCCACCAAGCUCGUCGUAUUUCCCUCGUCUCCCUCUCAAUCCCCUAUCUCUCUGACUCAACCAUAGAGCACGCACGCACACCACACCGCGCCUGAAAAUCCUAGAUCUAUAAUCUACAGCCAUCUCCCCGUCGAUUCCUGUCGACCGCACGGCGGGAAGGCCGCCGCCGUCGCGCCCUAGCUUCAAUUUCCGGCAGCGACGCCUUCGCCGGGACCUCCUGUCCCUGGUUGAACAGCAGAGCCUCCGACGCCAAACGUAAGGAACCCGUAAACUACGGGUCGACCCGAAACCGUAGACUACGGUGAAUAGGAGUCCAGAUCCGAAUGCAGCCAAAACACCAAGUGAGAACUGAAGCCGGAGCGAUGCUCUGGAUGACAUGUGUUUUUCUAAAUCUGAAGCUUGGCGAUUGCCUUACCAGGUGUUCUCUUGUGAAUUCUGAUUUUACCGCUUCCUAUUCUUUCAUUUUUGUUCCAAUUUUUCUCGAUGCUGCUGUACUGUGUGUAAUAUGUGAAGAAAUAUUGCCAGUGUGCUCAAUUUUAGGAUUCAUUGAUGGUUUCUUGGCAUCCUGUGGUUCGAGAUUGAGACUUCAGAUUUAGUAUUGGCCUAGAUUUUUUCUACUGAUUGUGGAAUAUGGAUGAAUGUUUUCGGUUCAUAGGACUUAUGUUUGGGUAAAUGUUAGUUGUAGAUUUAUAGGCAUUUUUGAAGUGCAAAGAUUCAAUCUUGAAGAGAAUCUCAUUAAAUUCUGACUUUGAAAUCAAUAAAUUGAUAUGGAUGAUAUAAAGAUUUGAUAUGUUGUGUCUGGUUUAGGGUUGAUGAAAUCUCUGUCCAAGUUCUCAUAAGCUGAUUUGCAAGAUUAAUGACCAGCAUAAUUUAUUAUUAAAGUAAGCCCUCUUUGUCUAUUUUUUCUGCAGAAUGUUGCCUUUGAGUUGUUGAAAGAAUCUCUUCUAUCGGAGCGGCAAAAAUUGGGUACGUCCAACAGGAUAUGUAGCUAUAACAUUUAUAUAUUUGCAUAAUUUUAUUAGUAUGGCGAUUGAUAUAUAUGUGAGUUGUGAGCUGUGAGAUGAAUGGGUGCGUGGUGUUUUCAAGUAAAACUAUACUCUACAGAUCCUUAGAACGUUAGAUGAAGUAUUCUGUUUUAGCAACGGAAGGUACUCGGUUAUUCUGGAAAAUUCGCCAGUAUACAUAUUCUUGUAUUAGAAUGUAUUACUACUUUCUUUGGAUUUUAUUGAUUGGUGGAGUUCCUUUGCAAAAUUACCAUUCAACAAUAAUUUGGUUGGUGAGAGUCGGAAGAAGAGCAACUUCUUUUUUAAGUUACACGUACAUAGGAUUGAAUCAACAUGCAAUAUAUGAGUUAUAUUUAUUUUUAGUUUACUGGUCGUGCAUGGUAGGCUGGUAGUAAGUGAUGCCAUAUUUUCUUCUGUAUGUUUGUGACAUUACAAAAGAAAUGUAUCUUAGGAUAUGGAGUAUCAUUCGGGUUAUUUUCCUAAACUGAAGUCAACAUUCAAACUCAUUUUAAUUUACUCAUGCUGAUAUGCAGUUUUGAAUGUUUUUAGCCAAAGAUUCUGAUUAUAAUUUUUUAUAAAUGUGGCUGCUAGUAGAUAAACUCCAAUAUUGAGAUUGAAUGGCCUAGUUUUGUUUUAUAUUUUGGUUUAAUUUAUAUGCCAUCUGAUUAAUUUUUUUAUAUCUUGGCUGUUAUAGUGAGUUCAUGUAUUGAAUAAGUUGUUUAGGUAUUGAAUAAGUUCUGUAACAUUUAUAUGUGCUUUCGUUGCUCCAAUGCUUGCUGCUUGGUUUAGAUUGAAAUAUCCCAUAUUGUUUCUAUGAUAUAGUUUCCUAGGAUUUCAAGGUCUAAAUUAUUCCGUCGUGGCGUGUCACCUCUGCUGCCCUCUCUUAUAAUCGGCUACCUCUCAUUAUAAACAAUCAUUCCCCUUUUCUAAUCUUUCUAUGAUCUCUAUCUUAUAUAUAGGUUGAUAAACAAAUCAGGUCUCUAACUAGUAUUCGGUUCAUUAGAUCUUCUUGUUAAUUAGUUUCCCAUGCUGUCUGAUCUUUCUAGGCAUAUAUUUGAUCCAAGAUCAGUGGUUAGUAAUUCUGCACUUGUGGUUUUAUUCAAUUUGUCUGGUCUUUUGGCUUUUAUAUAUAUUUCUUUAACUUUAGUUUUUCUGUGUCUGUGUUGUUGGAUGUUGACUGUAAUUUUUAGAAUUACUCUCCAAAGAGAGAUAUUAGAAAUUUAAGUGGCAUGUCGCCUGCAUAUGUCAUUAGGAUUGUAUUGCUUUCUAAUUCUUUUCUUUCCAACAUUGGCUUUAGAAUAUGCUGGUAUAUAUGUUAGAGUGAGGUGCUCAAAAUGACACUAGUGACUUUUGCUAUACCCCUGAAGAAAAAGAAGGAUUGUUAAUACCUGUAUUUUUAGCUGUUAUUAUAUAGAUUAUGAUCAUAUAUAAAGACCCAUGUGUGCAUAAUGCAACAUGGGUGUUAUCUACAAAAUUCAUGGGGAUCUGGAGUCAGAAAUUUCUUGUUAUGAAAGUUGCUUAGUUAAUUACUUGUUCAAUAAGCUUUUCCCUCUGAUGCGUUGUUUAUGCUUGUAUGUGCAGGUAUCUGACUGUCUCUCCAAACUUUGUGAUGGAAAAAUAUAAAAUGGCCAAUGCAUUAAGUGAUUUAGGCACAAAGAUUUGGCUUCUUUCUGGUGACGAUAUAAAUAUGAGUAUAAGAAAUAGAGAUAUGCUUAUUUUAUCCAGUAUGAACAAUACAAAUGACUUAGGGGCAUUGAAUUGGAAUCAAAUUCUUAAAAGAUGAUUUAAUUUGUCUGCUGAUUAAUGGUGAGUAAUGAUGACCGUGAACACACCUUAAAUCAGCUUCUCACUGUAAGACUCUGAAAUCUAGCUUACUUUUUCUGAAUCACUUUUAAAUGAUGUUAUUAUAGCUAUUUUGUUGCUAUUCUCGGUUGGCUCUUUGUAUGCUUUUGUGGCAGGUUUGUGGUGGUGGAUUAAAUGAGCCAUACGUUGAGCUGAAGAGGCUUGUGAAUUCACAAGAAAAGUUGUACCAGAUGGCUAGCUAGUUGCAUAUUUAAUAUGUUUAGUAUUUUUGUAAGGCAUAAUAGUAUAGAUAGAGCAGUUGUUGAAUUUUGACUAUAUUCAAAUCUUGUAUGAAUUCUUUUUUAUGAUAAUAAUAUAAAAUUAAAUAUUUUGGAUGAUAUAUAAUAUUAUUAUUGUUGGUUUUAUCAUUUAUAUUGUUAUGUAUAAAUUAAUAGAUAACGGAGAAAUAGAAAUCUAAUUACGGUCAAAAACGUUAUACAUAACGGAUUACCAAACGUUAUUAAUAUAAAAAAACCGUUAUGUAUAGGUGUGUACAUAACAGUGAAUAUUAAACUUUCAUGACGGUUUGAAACGUUAUGUAUAAUACUAUAGAUAACGGAUAUAAUCCGUUACGUAUAUAUAAACAAUCGUUAUGUAUAAUAGAAUAGAUAACGGAUAUAAUACUAUAGAUAACGGAUAUAAUCCGUUACGUAUAUAUAAACAAUCGUUAUGUAUAAUAGAAUAGAUAACGGAUAUAAUACUAUAGAUAACGGAUAUAAUCCGUUAUGUAUAAUAGAAUAGAUAACGCUUAAAUCUCCGUUAUGUAUGAAAUCCACAUACAUUACACCAUUAUAUAUUACGGAUGUUUUCGCACAUAGAUAACGGAUAAAAUCCGUUAUCUAUGAGCGAAUCUGGCGUAGUGUGAAGCUAUAGGAAGCUAUUCUUUAUGUGCUAUUUGGAGUUAAUUUAUUCCUUGGAGUCUUGAAUACGAAAAGGGGUUAAUUAAUCUACGUUCAUAGGUGUUCGUUAGAGAAGCUUGUGAAUAAUAUAGUGAUCUUUCAUCAUGGUUGGAUUAAAAUUGGUAAUUGAAUCAAUAGGUUGAAUGCAUGUAGUUGAUUAGUGAAAGUACAUCCCUAGGGUCAGAGUUUUCCUUACAUUUGAGUUAGUAUCGUUAUUUAUAUGCUCUUCAGUUUUUAUUUAGUUAAUCUUAGUUCGUAAUUCACCUUCAUAAUUGUUUUACCUGCAUACUGUUAGAGUCUGUUUAGGAAAUAGAUAUAGUAAUUUCGUUUUACAGUCUCUGUGGAUACGAUACUCUGCUUGCUGUUUUCAUACUACAAUUAUACUGUUUAGUUGCAGUUUUUGUUGCUAUAAAAAUAGUGAUCAAUAAUCAUGUUGUUACUAAUCUUUGCAUAAUCUGAACAAUCAACAAAUAAACAACACAAUUGGACAAUACAUAUGUUCAUUCAAUUCCACCACUACAAAUGGUACAACACAUAAUUUCCAACACACCAAUCACCCUAGCUACAACUCGCCAAAACACACUCGCUUAUAUGCAAUGUACAUAACAAACAUCAAUACAAAAAAACCAAGGACCCGAUACAUAUACUUGAUUUUCAACCCCAUUUUCUUGAGUUCAUCAUGAAGUUAUUUUACCAAAUUCUUCAAUUCUGCAUCAUCUGAUACAUCUUCUCCACAAGAAGCACACAAAUCAUUUUGCAUUUCAGGGCUUGUUUCUUCCUUCAAUUUUCUGUUUCUGAGAUGUUCUAAGGCAUUGUCUCUUUUAAGUUUCAACUUCUGGAAACAUAGUUUAUAAUAUGAGGUAAGCUCCGCAUCAAUUCAAUGCCACAAUCCCUAAUCGUCCCACUACAAAAAUCAUUAAAAAAACAGUUACAUAAAUGCAUAUGAACACUACAACAUUACACAAUCAAUAAAUAAAACAAAUUCUUACAGUUGUAUGAGGACAUGUAUGGAAUCUACGCUCCGAAUUUUUCUAGGUGUGAGAAGUUCGAAUCACAACAAGGAUCUCAUGAUCACAAAGUAUCUGCGUUUUCAGGAUGAGAGCGGGAUCUUGAGGUACUAGCCAUGGCAACUCCAGAGUCGCAACAAAAACGCCUCCAAUUUGUAGAUGAACCCUAAUUUGUAGAUUGCAACCUUAAUUUUCUGGAUUGCUACAUCAAAAAAAUGAACAACCCUAACCUUCUAAAGAUGAACCCUAAUUUGUAGAAUGCUACCUCAAUUUCUACCUUAAUAAUCAACAUUGCUUGCCUCGUUGGACGACAUUUUCAUGUCGACAACUUCGGGUGCUAGGUAAGCAUUAAAUUGAACAAAAUUGUAAUUUAAGGGAAAAUUAGACUUAAUCGAAAGUUUAAGUAUUUUACAAUUACAUUUGAAAGUCAUGAGGAAAAUAAGAAUUUGUCCAAAUUAAGUCGGUGAAUUUUGACACUAUUAGCCCUUAAUACGGUUUAAUGUAAUUUAUCUUCCGAUAUUUUUCUUGUAUUGAUAAUUAGUUUAUAAAUUAACGCUUUGUGAAUAUAAAUUUUUUUAUUACUAGUAUUUAUAGUGUGCAUACAACACUAGUUUAAAUAAACUGAGGGCUCGUUUGGUGUCGUAGAUUAUGACGUAUUAGCGCCUUUAUACAGGCUAUGCCGUCUGCUUGGUAUCCCUGACACAUUUCGCGGAUGGCCCGAAAAUAAGGCGCAGCCCGGAGUAAAAACACUGUAGCAUCUGGUUUGUGAAUCCGGCACACCCCCGGUUACCUUUACCCAUUUUGAACAUGAUCCAUAUUAAAUUUUGCUUUGCCUUAAUUGCCCCCAUUUUUUUUAGCGGAAUUCAGUUAUCCUCAAAUCUUUUUUGUGAAUCCGGCACCCCCUCGUUCAACAUCUCUUCCUCUUCCGGUCAACGGCAACGACCUCCAUCGCCGCUCCCACAUCGACGUUUUGCAAACAGUGGGAGAGGGAGUUCAGGCGACGAUGUGUUUUUGCGGUGGGAGAGAGUGGUCAGGCAACUAAUUUUAUUUGCAGGUGGGGGAUAGGGGUGUUCAAUGGGAGGGGGAAGCAAUUUUGGUUGGGGAGGGUGUUCGCGGUUAAGCAGCCACGACGGCGAAAAUUUUAUUGGACUGGAGGAAGGUGUUCAGACGUCAAUGGCAGAGGAGGCAAUGGUUUUGGUUGGGAUUGUUUGAGAGGAAAAAAGUUAGGCGGUGAGAAUAAUUGGAAGUUGGACGGUAGGUUGUAUUGGUGUGUUUUUCACUUUUUUUUGAAUUAUUUUUUAAUUUAUUUAUUUGGUGAGAAUAAUUCGAAGCAAUUGAGUGGAUGAGAUUGAUUUAUUUUUUUCACUUAUUUAUUUAUUUGGUUAUACUCCUUGUAAUCUUGUGCUUUUUUUUUUUGUGGAAAUACCAAUUUUGAGAUACAUACAUAGUUAUUAAUUAUAUAAUAUUAAAUUUGUAAUUUUCUCAUUUAAUCUAAAGAUAUAUCCUUUUAACCAAACAAAAUAUUAGUUAUUUUAAAAUUAUAGUUAUCUUAAGAUUAUAUCUUACAAAUAAAACACACAACAAAGAUUAACAAUCUCACAUAAUUCAUACUUUUAUCUAGGUUUUACAUAUCAUCAUUUUGACGCGCGUUGUUCCCUUGUGAGUUGUGAUAAAACAUAUCCAGUCCAGAUUCUAGGAUAAGCAGAAACAGACAGAACACUUGCAAAAUACAAAAAUAAAACUAUACAGAUCAAGAAUUCCCCUCAUCCUCAGUAAAAUGGAAACUUUGGGUCUUCAACUCUCUCCCACCAUAGCUCUAAACCUCCCUCGCAGACCAAAGAAAAUUGAAUUAUCUUUCGGGCUUUGCGCCGGUGCCGUAUUGCUACAGGCCCAUCUUUCUCGAACAGCAGUAUUCGCCGCAACGUAACCCACAAUUCUAUCCUUUGAGUUUCUGUUUGAGGAGUCUUCUUUUUUCUUGAUUAUGCGUCUUGUAAUGGUGUUUUCAGAAAUGGGUUUAUGUUGAUUUUUUUUUCUUUUCUUUUUGCNGCCGCCGUGCCGUCGGUAAUUGCCGGCGGCGGCUUCGCCGUCGCUAAUUUUGGCCGCUAUUUUCGCGUUUUUUUUGUAGUGUAUCCUCUAUUUAAACUACAGAAUUGUGUGGUUGAAUUAUAACUAAAGACAUGCAAUUAAGGGGGAGGUUUGUUUAUUUUUUGAUUCUUGAUUAAGGGGGAGAUAUGUAUCAAGGGGAAUUUUCAUUCUUGGCUGAUCAUUUUACUAGGGGAGAGAUUUUCUUGUGGGAGUUAUGUUUAUAAGGGAAGUCUUGUUAUUUGUGUCGUACUCUAAGGAUUCUCUCUAACUUUUGGUUUUAAUAAAGUAAGAUAAAAAGAAAUUGGAGUUAAUUUUUUAACUCUAUAUUUGAAUUUUUUUCGAAUUAAAUCUUCUAUGUUUUAUCUUCUUCAUUCAAUGAUUAUUAAAUAGAAUUAUUAGAGAUUUUCGGAUAUAUAAAAGAUUGGAAGAAGGAAGAGAUAAAUAUGUCAAAGACCAAGUCAAUUCAUAUUUUUAGGGAAAGUAGGUUAGGAUUUGCUAACCAAGCAAUUUUUAAUUGGCUCCAAGUUUGCAACUCAUUCCACGUCUUAAUUUCUAGCACGAUCUACAGCUUUCAACACUUACUCUGCAAGCAUGCUACACGUCUAUAAAUAGGGUAGUGGGCCACUUACCAGUUUAUAUACAAGAAGAAAUACAAGUAUUUAAGAGUAGAACUGCCAAGUUGUAUUGUUCUAACAUACACUUCAACAAUUAGUUUAGCUUACCUUAGUGGGAGACUCGUGAGUCUGGAGUAGUUUAUCGGUUUUGUAUGUUCAUGAUACAAUAUAUUUACAAAAAAAAAAAAAAAAAAAGAGGUUGGAUUAUUGUCAUAAUUAAUGUUGUAGUAAUAUUAUUCUCUAUGCUUCAAUAUACAAUCCUGUAUUCUCUAAGCAUAAACUCCAAGUUCCUAACAAUGCAUGAACCAUUUCAUCGAUAUACAAGGUAUCUGAAACUAAAAUUGUAUGGCAUCACCUCAAUUAAAUUUGAUAGAGGCUCUUUAUCUUUUCUGUCAAGGCAUUUGACUGCUUCGCUUUUGAGCUCAUCUGGCAGCUGCAGGCAAAUCCAAUCCAGCAAUGCCUCCAUCUCCUUUGCUAAGUCGAGAAGAUACCAAUCCAAUAGUUUGGGAACUACUAACUUGUUCGAUGCUACUGAUAUGCCCACUGCUGCUUGUAGGUAUGCCCUUUUUGCUGCUUCCAACUCACUCUCGAUUCGGGAUGCAGAGUACACCCUCAACUAAAAUCAACAUAAGCAUCGAGAUUUAUUUGAGAGACAAAAAAAUAUAUAAAUUUUAGUCACUCCUACAAAAGUGCCCCUAGUAAUUAAAAAAAUAUAUAAAAAAGUAUAAAGGUUAAUUAUUCUUUAUACUAAAAUUGAAGGUUCACGCUAAUUGAACGAUUUCGCGCGGUCGUGUAUAGAGAACUAUCUUAUCUUUAACGCUAAUAACGAGUUGCAUGCACUCGUCGACAACUCAUCCACAACAAUGGUGUAGUCGCCUUCGAGAAUGGAGGAUGGGUUUUGGAUGCUUGUGUUCUCAGAAGGAUUAAUGAGGUCAAGGUUCAUGUGUCAUGCAAAAAUCAAAAGGUUCAUGUGAUCGUGCAAAUUAUGACUUGCUUUGUGUGUGAUUUGCGUGCAUUAUCAAGCAAAAUUGUUCAAUUCGCGUGAUAGUGUGAACCUUUGAUUUCCAAUUGAAUUUGCACUAUAUUACGUGCAAUCGUACACUUCUCAAUCGCAUGCAGGGACGGAGCCAGGAAUUAAGUUGGGGGGGGCUGAAAUUGUACGGGGGUUCAGAAAUUUUUUUGGGCAUUCUGUAUAUUUAAGGUAUUUUUUUUUAUUAAAAUACGAGCAUAAUACUAAUAAUAACGAACAAUAUUUUCAUAGAUUAUAUAGUUUCAAUAUAUCACAAAUUUUUUUUGGACAUUCCGUAUAUUUAAGACAUUUUUUAUUAAAAGGCAAGCAUAAUAAUAAUAAUAACAAACAACAUGUUCAUAGAUUAUAUAUUUUCUAUAUAUUACAAAUUAGUUUCAAUACAUUAUAAUUUUUUUUAGCAUUUCAUACAUAUUAGGCAUUUUUUAUUAAAAGACAAGUAUAAUAGUAAUAAUAACAAACAAUAUUUCAUAGAUUAUAUAGUUUUAAAUAACAGAAUUAUCCUUAAAUUAAGUAUAUAUAUGAGAGAAUAUAAUAACCAAAUACUCUUUUAUAAAAAAAAAUUAUUUUAUAAUAGGUAUAAACAUAUAUCUAUAUAUAUUUUAAAAUUAAAAAAAAAAAACUCAAAAUUUGGGAGGGGGCUCUAGCCCCCCUUGGCUCCGUCCCUGAUCGCAUGAAUCUUUGAUUUUUGCAUGAAGAUCAACUUUUUUUAUUACUAAGGGUGUGUUUACUUUGAUAGAAAAUGUUAGAAAAAGUAUAUUUUUCAUCAUUUUCACAUAUUUUUUUAUGAUGGAUAAUUUUCUCCGAUCAGACUGGAAAAUUUAUUCGGGCAGCCCCUUUUCACUCCUUUUCUCACAAAUGUUGGAUAAUAUUAUCCUAUUGGGAGAGUGUGAAAAUAUUUUCUAACAUUUCAACUUUUUUAUCCAUCUAUUUCUAACAAAGUAAACACAUGAUAAAAAAAGAGAAAAAAAUAAUAUUUUCUCACAUUUUCUUAUCCAUCCUUUUCAAAUAGUAAAAUUUUACUAUCAAAGUAAACACACCCUAAAAAUUUAUUAAGGAUAAGUAGCAAGAAUAGAAUAUAUAUUUUUAAACUUAAUUAUGACUACUAUUUAUAUUGUGGCUAAAACAAAAUGAAUAUUUUUCACCCUUCCCCCGUAUCAUAUAUAUGCAUGCAUUUUAGUAUCCAAUGGCAAUGAUAGGCAACAUGAGACGUUGUUAAAAUUCACAGUUUUUUCUAGAUAAACAGAUAAUUUUUAAAUUAUCAUUUAGACUAAAGGUUGAUGAUAUCUUGCAAUAAUCAUCUUCUGCUAUUGCUUUUGAAGGCUUUUUGUGCAUUUUCCAACCCUUCCAUCUUUUGAUUUAAAUGCUUAAGAUGCCAUGGAUGCCCACAGUUAUAUUCUAUCCAUUUAACACAACCAUAUACAUCUUAUGUCUAAUUAACACAUUAAUUAGGAAUUUCAAUACAACACACAAUGUACUUACAGCAGGGCAAGACCAGCUGCCGCAGGAGAGUGCAAAUGUGACUAAUGGUUCCGACCACUCUAAGCCAAGCGCCUUGCAAAUCUCCUUUUCAUUAUUCCUGCUCGAUUUUGUGCACGUCUACAAUUGUUUUGAAAAGAAAUAUAAACCGUUAGAUUUAUGCUCGAAAUAUCCGAACUAGAAUUCAGUCUAUUCAAUUUGAAAUUGAAUCGAACCCCAAAUAACCAAAACUAGAAUUGGUAUUUGAAAUUGAAAUCAAAUUGAAUCAUUUUGUCCACGCAGAUGGAACCAUAUCGAAUUGAAAAUUUUCGGUUCAAUUUGAAUAAAAUCAAUUUUUUUAACGGGGACAGUGCGUAAUCUGUUAAAGACUGCUUCUACACCUAGAUAGAUGACUAAAGAGUGAAUGUGUUUUUCAUUUUUUAGGUGAUAAUAAUUUUUAAUAUAUAUGUAAAGUACUUGUACAACAUCAUAAAAUAUACUAUUUCUCAAUACUACAAAGCUCAAUCACAAUAAAUUCAUAAUUUAAAAUAAGCAAUUUCAUAAAAAAAAAUACUAAUGUUUGUCCCACUUCAAGUAUUUCCCAUUUGAAUUGUUCCACUUCAAAUGUUCUAUUUCUUUUGAUGGAGAAAAUCAGGCUAAAAAAGUAAGAAUCUUUAGGGUCUCAAUCUCUUUUUACCUAAACAACACCACUUAAUAAUUCAAGUGCUGGUCUCCUAUACCCGUUCGCGCGGACGGACAUGGAUAUGCAUAUAUUUAUUAAACUAAUAGUUAAGAGGGUGUUUGGCUGAGCUUAUAAGUUUCUCAAAACAACUUAUAAACUGUUUAAGAGCUUAUAAGCUCCUUCAAAUUCGCAAAAUAAGCUUCUCAACAGCUUAUAAGCUCCCCAAAAAAUAAGUUGGGUUCCUCUACCCCAACUUAUUUUUUUAUAAUCUCAUAUGCAACAAUCUUUUUACAAAUAUUUUUCAACUAUAAUUUAUUAUUUUCGUCAUAUACAUCAUUUAAUUUCAUUUUUCUUCGAUUUUCUCUCUCUAAAAAAAUAUUUUCUCUCUCUAGCAAAAUUUUUUUCUCUCUAGCUUAUAAGCUCAAUUAUCCAAAUACUUUGACAACUUAUAAGCUCUUAAAAAUUACAUCUUAUAAGCUCUUGAAACAUCUUAUAAGCUCCAAAAGCUUAUAAGCUCUUUCAGAUAAGCUUAGCCAAAUUAGUUAACAACUGAGCAUCUAGCUCAUUUGAUUUAGUGCGUGGUUUCACUCUGAACAUGUUCGACAUUUUAAUAUAAGAAAAUAAUGAUAGUACUAUUUUUUUUAUAAAAUCAAAUGGUAAUUUUAAUAUAAAUAAAUGGUAUAUUAUAAAUGACACUUUUAAUAGAAAUAGAAAAUGACAUUUUUAAUGCAUGCAAAUGAUAGUUUCGAAUGAGCCAGAAAUCAUACUUCACAAAUGAUACGAUUACAAAUGAUAUUUUUAAUAACAUAAAAUGAUAGUAUUAAUAUAUAACUUUGUUAAAAAAUCAAUGGUAUAUUACAAAUGACACUUUUAAUACUCCCUCUGUCCACCAAUUCGUGUAACCCUUCCCAUAGGAACACGAAUUGGUGGACAGAGGGAGUAAUAAUAGAAAAUGAUAUUUUUAAUGCAUGCAAAUGAUACUUUCAAAUGAGUCGAGAAGUGAUACUUUGCAAAUGGUUAUUACAAAAGACACUUUUAAUAAUAGAAAAUGAUACUUUUAAUGUGUGCAAAUGAUACUUUGUAAAUAUAUUUUUUAUAAAAUCAAAUUAUAUUUUGUAUAAAAAUAAAUAAAAUAUUACAAAUAACAUUUUCAAUGCAUGCAAAUAAAACUUUUCAAUGAGCUGAAAAGAGUUUGGUAAUUUUUUUUUAAAUAAAUAAAUAAAUAAAAAGAAUCGGUAAUAAAAAAUCUAUACUAAUAGAAAAAGAGUCUAAGGCAAUCUAAGGCAUAACUUGUGGAUUUUCUAUUUUAUCCCUAUUAUGUACUCCCUCCGUCCCACUCCAAAUGUCACAUUUUCUAUUUUGGAUUGUCCCACUCCAAAUGUCUCAUUUCCUUUUUUGGCAAUACACUCUCUCUCUAUACUUAAUAUUUAAACAAUUUCUACCAACCCACUUUAUCUACUUUAUACCCACUUUAUCUACUUUAUACACAUUUCUUAAUUUUCGUGCCCAAAAGAAAGGAGACAUUUGGAGCGGGACGUAGGUAGUACUAAUUAUUAUAUUUAUAAAAUAUAAAUAUAUCUGAUAUACAUUUAUUUGUCACCCAAAUCUAUAAAGAAUACUUAUUUUGCAUUAGAAAAGAGCCUUAGGCACAACAUAUGGAUUGCCUAUUUUAUCCCUAUUACAUAUUUUAUUUUAAGAUUAUAUUAUAUAUUAUAUAUUUAUAAGAAUAUAUUAAUUCAUUAGAUAUUACACUAAAUCUAUGCGAUAUAUGUCUAUAGUUAUUGAUAAGGCUUAUAAAUAAAUAUAUCCAUCCAAUAAAUUAUUUAAUAAAAGUAAUGAAUUAAUAAUUUUUUUAAAUAAUAGAUUAUUAAUUAAAAUAACAUUAAUUACACGUACAACGUACGUUUUUUCUGCUAGUUAAUAAAUAAACAAAAAUCCAAUUGGAUGAACUGAAUAAAUCCAAACUAGAGAAAUUAAAUUCAGAAAGCCAACUCGAGGGAGUCGAACCCACGGCAUUGUGGUCUACCAGCAGACUUAGAGGGUGUUUUGCUAAGCUUAUUUAAAAGAGCUUAUAAGCUCUUGGAGCUUAAAAGAUGUUUCAAAAGCUUAUAAGAUGUAAUUUUUAAGAGCUUAUAAGUUGUCAAAGUGUUUGGAUGAUUGAGCUUAUAAGUUAGAGAGAGAAUUUUUUUGCUAGAGAGAGAAAAUAUUUUUUUAGAGAGAGAAAAUCAAAGAAUAAUGAACUUGAUUGUUAUAUGAUAAAAAUAAUAAAUUAUAGUUGAAAAAUAUUUGUAAAAGGAUUGUUGCAUAUAAGAUUAUAAAAAAUAAGUUGGGAUAGAGGAACUUAUUUUUUGGGAAGCUUAUAAGCACUUGAAGCUUAUUUUUGGAGCUUAUAAGCUGUUUAGGAGCUUAUUUUGCCAAACACUUUGAAGGAACUUAUAAGCUCCUAAACAACUUAUAAGCUGUUUUGAGGAGCUUAUAAGCUCAGCCAAACACCCUCUUAGAAGCUCAAUUAUUAUGCAUCCUCAGACAUCUGAUGCGCCGUAAACUUGUGGUAGGAUGGAGGGUAGGUACAUAUAUUUUGGUCGGACUCAAACCAAAACAUUCGAUUUUAAUGCUGCAAAUUGAACCAAACCCUUUCGCCCACAAACACAAAUAAAAACUACUCAUUUCGAUUCGUUUCGAUUUUUUGGGUCUGAUUCGAAUUUGCUCACCCACCCCAUAAUUAAUACAGUACAAAGAAGCUACUCACAUAUUUUAAGUGAUAUGGAAGUCUCAAGAUAAGGCGCUCGAUCGUAACUGCAUUUAGCACAUAUCCCCCAAUAUUUAUCGUUGCCUGCAACAAUCAUCGAUGCUAUGAGUUAAUAUGCUCAUUUAGAAUUCCAUAAUUCUAUUUUUGAGCUUAAAAAUAGAUUACACUUCAAGAAAUUUUACAAGGUGAAUAAUAUCGCCUUGCCUUUUGCAUUUGUGCCAUGAUCAUGUCUGGACUCUCGGGUAUUCCAUGCUCCAAGAAUGCCUGAAAAUCAGUUAUGACUUAUGGUUAUAAACAAGAGCAUCUUUAAUUCAAAUAUCUCAUUUGUGCUUACAUUCAUAACACAUGAAUUAUAGAUGUUAAUCCAAAACGCAAGUUUCUGCUGAUGACUCAGACCCUCCAACUUCAAACACGCUAACUUGUCUAGGAGAAUCCUGAAAUUCAACCAAAACAAAGUAAAACGGACUCAUCACAAUCACAAAAAACAUAACAGAUUUUUACGUAGAGAGCUGAGGAAAGAAUUGCCUAAGCCUACCUAAGCCUACGCAUCAGAAAUGAAGCACUGCCUCUGCGGUUGAGAUCAACUUGAUUAGCUUCUAUCACAUGAAGAUGUUUGUAGACGCCAAUGUCUCGCCUCUUCAGCUCAGAGGAGUUGAAGUAAGGAUCUCGAAAGCUUGAUUCGGCCACAUCCUUCUCACAUAAUAAUGCCUUGGGCGCCAACGAAGAGAGAUCCAUCGUCUUCCUCCUUGAUGAACUCAUUCUUACAAAGAUGCUGAUCAGGCAGUUCAAGAUAUCCUGCGACAUUCUAUUCGCCUCACUCUCAACGUCUAUGCCUCUGUCAUCCGUGGACCCAGAGGAGCUCUCUUGCGCUUGCUCUACAACCCUACACUGCACAAAACUAUCAUCAUAAUUAGCACGAGCAUUUCUAAGAAGGUGUUUGGCUUAACUUAUAUACUCCUUAAAACAUCUUAUAAGUUGUUUAGGAGCUUAUAACUUAUGGAGAAGCAUUAAGAAAAAUAAGCCUCUAAACAAUUUAUAGGAUGUAAAAAUAAGCUCCAACAACUUAUAAACUUUCCAAAUAUAAGUUAUCAAUUCCAACUUAUUUUUUCAUAGUCUUAUAGUCAGUAGCAAUUAUACAAAAAUAACACUACUAUGAUUUGUUAAAUCCAUCAUAUACCCAUAUACUUUCCUCUCUUUUCAAUUUUCUUGUAAUUUGUUGCAGCAUAAAAGCUCUCUAAAAUAAGCUUAGCCAAACCUAUAUUUGUAAUUACAUUGGCAUUUAUUGUUCCAUGAUUGAUCACUAUGGAUAUGGAAAGAAGAAAUCUACCUGCAUUUUUGGAGAAAGUUUUUUCACAGAAAGAGAUUCACUAUCCUUGUCUGCUUGAUUGUCUGAUAUCAAAUUGUGCUCGUUUUGAGGCAGUUUUCUUAAUCCAUCUGAUGCAGUGUCCAAAGACACGAACUUUCUAGAUGAAGAAAUCCUAGAAACACAGAGCACCGAUGAACCUGAAUCGACUUCACUUUGGGAGGAAGCCCUUGAAUGUUUCUGUUUGGAGCUUCUUCUCAUUGACAAGUCGAGUGUUGAAUCCUCCCAACUUCUUCUUGAAGAUAUGUGAGCAGCUUCUUGAUAUAGACCUUGUCUGAAGUUAACAACCUUCUCUUCAAGCCAAACAACCUCCUCUUCCAACACUGCCACUUCAGCUAGAAGCUCCAGAGUCUGCAAUAAGGGAGCAUUUAUUUUCAAUCAUUAAGUAUUUUUUAAUCCUCAUUAUUAGGAUAUCUCAAAUCUUAUCACUUUCAAUGGAAUAUGAAUCCAAACAAGUUAGCUCGAAUUAUAGACAUUAUCCAGAACUUUAGGAUAUCCCAACAUUAUAAUUUAUCUUAAUAAACAAUGGAUUAACCUAAUUUAUGGGUGUUUGGUUUGGUGGAUUAUACAGGAUUUAGUUUCAUGAUAUAUUAUGUUCAAUUGGUGAACUCAAUUUAGUCUUGCCCCAUAGGUCUUGGCCUCCUCAUAUAAAAAUUAAACUUUGCAAGUAAUAUUAAACCAAUUCAAUCUCCAAUAUCUCAGGUCAAUUCAAUCUCAACUAACUAAACACCAAAUGUUCGAUUACUGCCGAGAGUUACCCAAAUUGAAUUGAUCUAAGUUUAAUUUUGUCAAAGGAGAAGUCAUGACUAAUAAGGUUAGACUAAUCCUACGUGACACUGUCUCAAGAUUAACUAUCGAGCCGAGUUCAUUCAAUCCAACUAACUGAAUAUCAUGUGACUAGGUCCAAUUCGAUCCACCAAAUCGAACACCCUAUCACUCAUGGCAGUGCAUACAUACUUAAUUGCUAAUGACGAAGAUUACCUACAUCUAUAAUCUUGUUGAAAAUAAAUUAAUAACGUCUAACAUCUUCAACUGAAACUACAAAAAGUGAUUCUUACAUAUUGAGGGAGAUAAGGAGGAAGACGAGGCAGAGCGCCCAACGGCCUAUUGAAAGCUCUCUGCAAGACUCUGUGCACAUUCUCUUCAUGUCUCAACUUCUUCUUAAGAUUCUCAACCUGCCAUUUUUUGCAUGAAUUAAAAUAUAAGGAAUUGAGAACAUCACAACCAACACAAUCAUUAAGAAAAUAAAAUAAAGGAGACAAGUUGCCCAAUUCUUGGAGAAAUCAAGGAGUUAAUUACAUCUUGUAAUAAUGCCAACUUUCUCUCUCUUGCUGACCGGCGUCUACUCGCCAUGGCUUUCUCUGCAGUUUGCCACUUGCUUCCCUGCAAAUUCACCAAUUUCGGAUCACUUUCACAAACAUUGUCAUAUAAAUAAAUGUUACAAAUUGAGGGGAUCAGAAAUUCCUCACAUUCUGUGGGCGCAAAGAAGCUGGUUUCUUGGAAUUAACAUUAUUGCUAAUUCUUGUAUUCAUCUCUACUUAAUUUUCUGGGAUCACCAUCAAUUCAUCAGGAUCUGCAUAUUAUGCAGCUUGCCACCUUAAAGAAAAAAAAAUAGCGAAAAGAAACUAAAACUAUUUUUUUUUUUUCUUUGUCUUAAAGAAGCAAGGUGUCAUGUAUCUCAAAAAUAGGAUAAAUAUGCUAAUAGCUGAGUGGUCUAAGAUUAGGAAAAGAAAAUAGUGCUAAAGAAUGUAAGGCUAGCUAUACACCCUUCAUUGAGAAAGAAGUUUUACUUUGAGAGUGACAGAGUGGGGUAGAGAGAGAGAGAGCGGGAAAGCUGAAACGUGAAAGUGAAACACUAAAACGAGAGCAAAGAAUAAUCGCCUUCUUUUAGAGCUACGAAUAAUAGAGAGCAUAGUGCAAGGUAUCUUUUGUUGUUUGGGGGCUGACUCAAACUAUACUAAAAUUUAAAGGGUUAAUUGCAUAGAAUAUCACCAACUAUGUUCAAAAUCCAUUUUCCCCAUGAACUUCUAAAAAUCCAAAUUAUAUCAAAUACUUUGAUAAGUGUUCAAAUUGCCCAUGUUUGACUAUUUAAAAAAUAUACCCCUUUCCAUCACAAAAUAAAUUGCACAACAAUCCCACCUUUUGAACUUCUUAGCCAAAUACCCUAAUUAUAACACAUGCAUACCCCGCCACGCCUAAAAAUGGUAUCGGGUUUUUAUUGAUGAAUUAUAUUAUAUUUAAUUUAUUUUAUAAUUAACCUAUGUGGGAGGAGACCCCAUUAAAAAUUUAUGGAUCCGGACGAGUGUCCGAGAUGUCUUGUAUACAGGAUUUCUUUCCAAUAUUUGAAAAGAGAAAACAAUCGCCUAUUAGGCGAAUUACGAGUGUUUUGGCGAACCCUAGCGGUUCACAUCAUCGAGGAUGAAGAGACUGUUCGUGAGAUUAUUACGAACAUACAGGGUUAUCUUGAUGCCCUACUGGAAAUUGCCGAAGCCAAAUCGGCAAAUGAACGAGCCAGAGCCAACCUCCAUCAACUACACAUUUGAUGGAACAGAAGGACAAAGCAGGAGUAGCUUAUCCGAGCUAUCAAAAGAUCGAGCCAAACUCUUCCAACAAUGUCAACUUGCGGGAGAUUCAAAGAACGGUGGAAUACUGUGGCAUCAAACUAUAUAAUCUACCGAUGGAAAUGAACCAAAUAUCACUCAAACAAGAGGAAAUCCUAAAAACUCUUGCGUGAUAUUUAGAAGAGGGUGGAGGACAUCGAAAGGCAGAAAUCAUGUUCCGGAAGACUUCGGAAUACAUGGUCCAAAGACCCGACGUAUCCAUUACCACUUGAUGCAGCGCCCAAGGAACUGCAGCCAGAAGACAUAAUUCGAAUCGUGAAAGGGAAAAAUCAUGAAUAACCUUGAUCGAAUCGGAUUAGAGGAUUUACAAGAGUUAGCAGAAUCAUUUGCUAACUUAAAUAUGGUUGAUCUAAAGAUGAACCAAGGAGGAGAUGUGCCCAAAACAGAGCACCCACAAGAAGAAUCAUCCAGAAAAGGUGGGGCUCGUGAAAAUUCGAGCCACUAUCAACGAACCAGAAGACGCCGACCCAAGAUGCAGGACACCCCUGUAGGGAAGGCUACACUCGAACCAAUCCACCCCUAUGGAUUGAUUCUCAACCUCGAUGAAGCCAGCUUUAAGGAUUGGGAAGUUCUCAUCGAGGACUGGGCUUCAGCUAUGAAGGUUGUGAUUGCCACGAUAGAAUAUGAUAGAAAUGAAUUCAUCAAAAUCUUCGAAGCAAGUUUUGCCGGCAUGGUAAAACAAUUCUGGGAUAAGGCAUCAACAGAGGCGAAGAAUGAGUUGUUCACCAAAGAAUCAGCUCUGGAAAUCCUUGAAAAUGCUGCCCACCAAAUCAAAAUCCAUUUGCUGAGAAUGGGUUUCUUUGAAGCAUUAGCAGAAGAGAAGCGCAAAAAAUAUCGACAGGCACUUCACAAUCUAAGAUUGGUGGUGCUAGAGCCAAAAGCUCUCGAUGAAUUUCUGCGUCUAUAUGCCCUAUAUGUCCAUAUGGGGUUAGUUGAUGAUCAGACCGCCAGGGACCACUUUUUCACAAAGUUUUCGAGUCCAUGGAGGGAGAUGCUCAUCAACGAGUACGUAUCACCAGGAGAAUAUCCUCUGGAUAGUGCAUCAAGGAGGAUGUCAUAUGUUCACAAGAAGCUGUCCGAAUGGUGCCAGAAGGCGGCGGACCUGAGAAAUCUCAAGAAAUUGAGGAGGCUCAACAAGAAAUCCCCAUUGAUGUGCGACAAUAUUGAUCUUCCAACAGAGAUUGGUGCUGAAUUGCUAUAUCAAAGGAGGAGCCGAAAGAAACAUAUGUAUCAACCCUAUGAAAGAAAGUCCAGAAGGAGUUCUUGGAAGCCAAGAACUAUGUGGACCAGACAGAAGGCACGCUCCUACAAGUCAGGCCAACGGAGCGGACCAUCAAGAAACAGAUUCUCAAAUCAAAAGAGAAUCCCGGCGAGAAAGACUUUCAGGCGUACUCAGGCCAAAGCAAAUGAAAGUUUCAAGGAUUGCAACUGCUGGACAUGCGGAGCAAAGGGGCAUAUUUCAACAAAUUGCCCAGAUAACGAGAAAAGGGAGAUGAGAAGAUUCGAAUCCACACCAGAUAUCGAAGACGCUAUCUUCUUCCAGAAAUUGAUACCCGUGUAUCAGUUUGAAGAUAUAUCCUCUGAUGAGAGUAUAUAUGAACAAGAAGAAAUCUUUAGUCUGAGGAUUCGGAUAUGACUGAUGGAUCAUCCGGAGACGAGUCAGACUAAGGAGGACGAGGUUCUCCACUUUCAGAAGGAGGAUUAGGAUGGGUUUAUCAGCCAUUUUCUGAUUCCACAGGAAGAAGUGGUGGAAAAGCUCGUGAAAAGACUCAAUAAGGAAACCGUGGAUGUACAAACGUUCCAAGGGUUUUCCAGUGGAAGGUUGGAUUGAGUUUUUCAUAGCUUGAUUCCAUUCAAGAGGAAGCAUCAUGUCUUUUUGGGUACAAUGAGUCGGGAGUUGGCGCUUCNCUCGAAUUAUAGACAUUAUCCAGAACUUUAGGAUAUCCCAACAUUAUAAUUUAUCUUAAUAAACAAUGGAUUAACCUAAUUUAUGGGUGUUUGGUUUGGUGGAUUAUACAGGAUUUAGUUUCAUGAUAUAUUAUUGUUCAAUUGGGUGAACUCAGAUUUAGUCUUGCCCCAUAGGUCUUGGCCUCCUCAUAUGAAAAUUAAACUUUGCAAGUAAUAUCAAACCAAUUCAAUCUCCAAUAUCUCAGGUCAAUUCAAUCUCAACUAACUAAACACCAAAUGUUCGAUUACUGCCGAAUUGAUCUAAGUUUAAUUUUGUGAUAGGGAGAAGUCAUGACUAAUAAGGUUAGACUAAUCCUACGUGACACUGUCUCAAGAUUAACUAUCGAGCCGAGUUCAUUCUAUCCAACUAACUGAAUAUCAUGUGACUAGGUCGAAUUCGAUCCACCAAAUCGAACACCCUAAUCACUCAUGGCAGUGCAUACAUACGUAAUUGCUAAUGACGAAGAUUACCUACAUCUAUAAUCUUGUUGAAAAUAAAUUAACAACGUCAACAUCUUCAACUGAAACUACAAAAAGUGAUUCUUACAUAUUGAGGGAGAUAAGGAGGAAGACGAGGCAGAGCGCCCAACGGCCUAUUGAAAGCUCUCUGCAAGGCUCUGUGCACAUUCUCUUCAUGUCUCAACUUCUUCUUAAGAUUCUCAACCUGCCAUUUUUUGCAUGAAUUAAAAUAUAAGGAAUUGGACAUCACAACCAAUACAAUCAUUAAUAAAAUAAAAUAAAGGAGACAAGUUGCCCAAUUCUUGGAGAAAUCAAGGAGUUAAUUACAUCUUGUAAUAAUGCCAACUUUCUCUCUCUUGCUGACCGGCGUCUACUCGCCAUGGCUUUCUCUGCAGUUUGCCACUUGCUUCCCUGCAAAUUCACCAAUUUCGGAUCACUUUCACAAACAUUGUCUUAUAAAUAAAUGUUACAAAUUGAGGGGAUCAGAAAUUCCUCACAUUCUGUUGGCGCAAAGAAGCUGGUUUCUUGGAAUUAACAGUAUUGCUAAUUCUUGUAUUCAUCUCUACUUAAUUUUCUGGGAUCACCAUCAAUUCAUCAGGAUCUGCAUAUUAUGCAGCUUGCCACCUUAAAGANAAAAAAAAUGCGAAAAGAAACAAAACUAUAUUUCUUUUUUUUCUGCUGUAAAGAAGCAAGGUGUCAUGUAUCUCAAAAAUGGAUAAAUAUGCUGAAUAGCUGAGUGGUCUAAGAUUAGGAAAAGAAAAUGUGCUAAAGAAUGUAAGGCUAGCUAUAGACCCUUCAUUGAGAAAGAAGUUUUACUUUGAGAGUGACAGAGUGGGGUAGAGAGAGAGAGAGCGGGAAAGCUGAAACGUGAAAGUGAAACACUAAAAUGAGAGCAAAGAAUAAUCGUCUUCUUUUAGAGCUACGAAUAAUAGAGAGCAUAGUGCAAGGUAUCUUUUGUUGUUUGGGGGCUGACUCAAACUAUACUCAAAUUUAAAUAAAGAAACAAUACAUUCCCGUGGAUAUUUUGGAGAAAAAAACAUAAAUUUUGGCCACUAAUUUAAUAAAUACAGUAUAAAAUUGGGGUAAUUGUCUGUAAAUUCAUAACGUUUACACGGAAUUGGUUUUUGCUCCUAUUUUGAAAGGUGUGGCCCCUAAAUACAUAAUAUUUUAUUUUGUCUUGUUUUUCUCCUGUCACCGGUUUUUUCUUACGCCGGCGCCGAAAAUUACACCGUGGCAGCCGGAAUUGACAAGGUUGCAGCCGGAAAUUGACACAUGGGCAUAUUAUUAACAUGUGGAAUAAAAGUAAAAAAAAAAAAACAAAAUUCUCCCAUCUCCAUCAUCUUCUUCCCCUUCCUCCCCUCCCCCCACCCUCUGCCAGCCCCUCUGCCGCCUGCGACGGCGCCCGCCACCCCCUUCCUCACCUCGGCUCAGCGGCGACGAGGUGGCUAUUUCGCUGGAGGGGAGCCAAGGCAAACGCGCGGCGGCGGCGGCGAACCUAGGCGUUAGCCUCACCAAGUUUCGUCAGCCCUUCCCACCACCACCACCAAAUUCCGUCAGCCCUUCCCACCACCAAUACUUAUGAAUUAAUUAUGAUAUGAGAUGAUCAUAUAAAUUAACUCAUUAGAGGCCCAUCUUUAUUCCUUGUAUCUGAUCCCUGGACUGGCCCCAAGUCUCCUGAGCCCAGGAAACAGUAGGGGACGCCCAACAGUAGUAUAAGGGCCCUAGGUCUGUGUUUUGUCUAUAAAUACAACUAUCUGCUCUCAGAAUAAUACACACAAAAUUAGGGUUUUGAGAGAGCAGAGUGGGGCGACAAUACUGAGUAGGCGGCUACUGUCUCUGGGAGUUCUCAUAGUUCGUUGUCCAUCCAACGUUGGGAACUGAGCGGGAUACAGUUCAGAAGAUCUGAGCGGGAGUCAAUUUUUAGCAGGAAAUCAAGUUCCGGCAGUUUCAAAAGAACGACCAUAACUUCCUCUACAGAACUCGGAUUUGGACGAAUAGGCGGCCACGGAAAGCUCUUUCGAAAAGAAAGAAGUCGUAUUUCUGGGCAAAAUACGAUUGGAGGGCGUUUGAUGCUUCAAACGAAUGAUUGAAGUUGGCUGACCUGUUCAGCGACGAAUUGAUGAAUUCUUAGGAAUUCUUUAGGUAUUUCUAACUCCAAGGUGCAACACUUAAAUUUAUAGGAGCAUGCUAGGUUUAAUCGAUGUAUGGUGAAUUAAGAUAAUCCAAGAGACGAUCCUCGGGCAAAUCGAGUAUUAAUUUAAUAUUCCUUCACGGAGGAGAUGGGAGGGGAGGGAGGAGUUAGAAAGUUAAUGAAGAAAACAUUUUUUUUCUUCAACACUAGAGAUGCGAUUUUGACUUAGUGGAUUUUCAUUAGUUUUUUCCUUUUUAUUAAUUACACAUGUAAGCCAACAUGGCGUUUGGCCGGACACGUCAAAUCCCGAUGACCAGAUUAUUUUUGUGGGCCACAAAUAAGAAAAAAAUGGAACGGUGUGUAUUGUUUUGUAAAUAUAUUUAGGGUCGGAUAUUUUUGAGAAAACGUCCAAACGAUGGGCCAAAAACUGAUAUUUACCCUAAAUUUAAUAAACAAAACUGUGAAACUUAAUUAAGGGUCAAAUUUUAUUUUUAAUUUAAUCAAUAUAUAUACACUACUUUGCUAUGAUAAGUUAUACGUAAUUAGUAUUUACUUAAUAUUUUUUUCUUAUUAUUUUAGCUAAGAGAUCGCAUGAUGUUCCAUGGAGAUUUUUUGCAGCUUGGAAAAACACUCUUUAGCUCCUUUUGGAUUUUAAUAUUCAAGUGACCCAUAUAUAUAGAGAAGGCAAUAGAGCGGCAAACAUUAUGGCCAAUGACAAUCGGACUGAAGGUUGGUGGCCACACGAGAUCGACGAGAUUAAAGCUUCGGUUUGCAUGGAUAUGUCGGUGCAUAACCAUAUUCGUAUAAAAAAUUAAAUGUGACUUUGGAUUUCGCAUGUUUGACAUUUUUUCAGGCUUUUGGUGGGCGCAUGUUGCGGGCGUCUCUCAUGGAUGUGGUGGACGCGAUGUGUGGCCAUGACGGCCGGUAUUGUGGCUGCCGGAAUGGUGGAGUUGCUCUUUGAUUAGAUGAGUUUAGUUUGGGACGUGUGGGGUUUUGGCUUCACGGCCGCAGCUGACAAUUAUGAGGCUGUGCUUGAGCUGUUUGCAGGCAGCUGCUGGGCGAUGGCAGGAAGCUUUUGGGUUUUCUGGUUGAUCCCUGGUCUGGUUCGGGGGAGCAGACGUGUGGAGGGUUUUGAGAUGCUUGCUUGGAUUUUUAUUGAGCACCUUGAGUGCGGGUUUGGUUGUUUGUUGGGGCUGGCAAAUAGGUGGUUGUCUAAAGCGUCGUUCCGGCUCUGUUAUAUUUUUUGGGUGCGCUCAAAAUUGGGGUCGGAAAAUGUUGGAUUUUUUAUUUUUUAUUUUAAUUGUUUUCCAUGUGUCAAUUUUUCAGUCCAAGCAGGUGCCAUGUCAUCUCGUUACUGCCACGUGAGAGCUAUAUCAGCUCGGAGCUUCACCGGACAAAAAGUAUGAAAAAAUUGUUCAACCCCUUAAAUUUAGGGAUUUGCUGAAUAAAAAAAAUUGAUAACUCAUAAACAUACAAAAAAUCUCUACCCGUGUGCAGUUAAAGUUAUUAUUCAUUUCGUGCCACUUAAUUUCUCAUUAGCUCUUCCUUUUUUAUUUGAGUGAGAAGGGACGGUGGAAUUUAAACCCUAAAUUUCAUUGUUCACAGAUAGAAGUUCAUAUUGCUUGGAUGAUCCUUUGAAAAAUUUAAUAUGAUUAUUUAAAAAAAUAAUACUUCUUCCGUCCCACUUGACUUGACAUGUUUUCUUUUUUGAGUUGUCCCAUUCGGCCUGGUCUAUUUUUUUAGGUAAUUAAUUUUCACUACAAUAAAUAUGGGUCCACAUACCUUUACACAUUUUUACACUAUAAUCAUACUAUUCUAAAUAACCGUGUCGAAAACGAUUAGGUCAAAUGAGAUAGGAUGAAACGAGUAUUAUACUGUAAGGGCCCGUUUGGUUUUCAGUAUUGGAUUAAUCAGGAUAUAAAUUAUCCUGAUAAUUUAGUGUGGAUUAGUCAUGAUUUCUAAUCUCAUAUGGGUGUUUGAUAUCUUUGGUAAUUAAUCCCAAAAAGUGUUUGGUAUCCAUUGGAAUAGGUUGGAUUAACAUAUCAAAUACCUAAAUUAUCCUCACAUAUUUUACCAAAAGACAUUCGUGUCCUCAAAUCUGAAAAUAGAUGGAGGCAUUGGUAUCCUCACAGCAUCGUUUGGCGUGAAAAGGUAUCAAUUUUCGAUUUUAACAUCUCGGUAUUAAAUUUAUUCCAUGGGGAGGGUGGUAUAAUUAGUGUGGGGUUAAUCCCCACAAAAAUAAGCUAGGGUCUUGGGAUAAACCUGGAGUUGACCAUAUUAGUAGCACAUAAUACCAAACACUGCAUAAAUCCAUAUUAAUUUAACUUAUCCUGCUUUUAAACCCAUAUCAAACGGGCCCUAAAAGUGUAUAUAUUUAUAUUAUUAUAAUAAUAAAAAUUAAUUACUAAAAUAAGUAGAUUACGUUAAAUUGAACAGCCUAUAAAUUAGGGGUGGUAUUCGGUCCGAUUCGAUUAUAACCGAACUAGAAAAUCGAAAACAAAAAGUGGCGUUUUUACUAACCAGUAAUCGAAACGAAUUUCGGUUCAAUUAACCGAUUUUUUCAAAUGUAAAAAGAAAUGCACUUCAAAUUACUACUCAAAGGAUUCAAACCUUUGCCCCUAAGGAAGAAAGAGUAAAGUCUUCCUUUUUCGUUCGUCCUCAAAACAUCUUCCUAAUUUAUUUUUAGAAAUAAUUUCACUAUUCAACAAAUACAUAACGAACUUUUAUUAAAACUUGUGUCGCCUCCCCUUAGGAAGAUGUUUCACGGACGAAAGAAGUAUAUCAUUUAAUUAUUGUGUAGCCUUAAUCCGGUUAAUUCGGUUUAAUCAAUCGGUUGCCGAUUAACUGGUAUAUUUACAAUUUGAUAACCGAUAAUCAAACUGAACCAGUCAAUUUCAAUUAUCGGUUAACCGAUUAACCGAAAAUCGAUUCAGUUACGAUUAUAACCGAAUAUGGUAAAGUCAAAUUGGAGGAAAAGAGUACACGUUUUACCCACGUCAAAUGUCUAGAAUAAAUAUAGUAAAAGGAUAUUUACAAAUAUUUUUACGAGUGAAUUAACAAAAUAUUUAUUUUCUUAUUAUAUAGAUAUAAAAAUAGUUAUUAAAAAAAUAUUUUUAUAAUUUUAUUCUUAUUAUUAUUAUUAUUAUUAUUAUUAUUAUUAUUAUUAUUAUUAUUAUUAUUAUUAUAAUAAUAAUAAUAAUAAUAAUUCAUAAUUACAAAGCUUUUGUAACGUGAAUUAAUAAUCUUAUUUUGGCUAUAAUUAAUAAAAGUGGCCACUUUUUUUGGGCACGGAGAUUAAGAAGGGGAUUGUUAUGUUUUAAUUGAGUGUGAUCCACCAAAAUUAGUGAGUAAUUUUUAGAAAGUGGCCUACAAUUGUUGACCAAAUUAGUGAGUAAUUGUUGACUUAAUUAAAGCAAACUUUUGCCAUUUUUAGAAAGUAGCCACUUUUAAUGGGAUACCCAAAAAGGAAAUGUGGUCACUUUUAUUGGGACGGAGGGAGUAAUAAAUACAUAAAAUAUUAUUCUAUCCCUUCACAAAAAAUAAUUAUAUUUUAAUAAAAUUAUAAAAAUUAUUGUAAGUAAAAUAAAUGUACAAUUUAUAAAGGUACUGUUAGCACAAAAAGAUAAAAUAAAAGUAUAUUAUUAAUUAAAAAAUAAAAUAAAAACACAAUUUAUAUAGUUAAAUAUAAGAGAUAAGGUAUAAUGUGAUGAUUCAAAAAGUGAAAUUAAACUCUUUUUCAUGGAAAAAAAGAGAUGGGAGUUACGACUCUUUUUUCGUGGACAAAUGGAGUCCAUUUAGGGGGUGUAUUCAAUUCACAAUUUAAAAGAUUUCUUUUGUAUUUCAAAAGUUCAUAAGUGCAGAUUUUAAAAACUCCUUAAAAAUCUGUUGAUAUUCAAUCAUGUCACUUAAAUAUCCACCGAAAUCUAGGGAUAUUGAAAAUUUGUAGGAUUUUAAUAUGUCAUGGACUUUAUAGGAUUAUAAUGCAAUAAUAUAAAUACAAAAUCCCUCCAGACUAUCUCACCUCUACGUAAGAGAUUUUGACAUCCUCGUCUCCAUCGUCAACGUUAACAAGAAAAAGAAAAAAAGAUUAUCAGGUAUGCCAAAAAUUUUCAGCUAUUUUUUUCGUCUCAAUUUUUUUUUUUUGCUUUCUUCUCUCAAAUAUUGACCAUCGUUCUGGAAUGAAGGGUGUAACACCCCAAGUAUUUAGCUUAUUAUAGAAGUCGAAUUAUUAGUAUUUUCUUUUAUAGCUUAUUUUUUUAAUUACAUAAUACAAAUAGACAUGUAUCAUUAAUUUUAUUUAGACUAUAAUUAUUAUUAAUAUUUAUGAUUCCUAUUAGAAUUAGAACUCUUUCAUCAUCUUUAUUUUUAUAUAGUGUGCGUGUGUUGGCCAAACGGUAAGGGGUUAAUGUCUAAGGCCAAAGGUCUUGGGUUCGAGUCCCCUUUUUUAUACUUAUCAAACUCUUUAAAGACUAGUAUAAAUAGAGGCACAAUUAUUCCUCUAAAAACACACACAAACAUGCAGAACCGGAAGCAAGAAUUUUAAAAUCGGUACUUUCUUCUCUUUUAUUUGAUAUGAGGGUUCGGUUGGUAUUGUUUGUCUUCAUAUUGAAAGUUUAUAAAUUGAAGCAAAUAUGAUUUGAUUUUGGUUAAAAAUUCUUUAUUUUUGUAUUUUAUUAUUUAUUAUGUAUUUAAAUUAAUAGUUAGUUAGUCUAUCUUUUAAGUUUGUAUUUGUGUUAGCAUACAUGUCGUCUAGCUGUAGAGUUAGGAUGAAGAUGUGUUUCUUUUGUUUUAUUUUUCUUUUACAAGUUCCAAUGUAUUCAAAUAUUUUUUUUCGUAUGUUUAGUUAAUCAAAUUAGGCAUUAGCACUUUUUUAUUUUGAUUAAUGAAAGUACUCCACAUAGAAUGAGUUGAUCAAUCUUUGUAUACAAAUUUAGUAAAUUGAUUAAAUUUUAAUUUAUCAGACUGUACUUUGAGUUAUUUUAAAAUUUGAAAUAAAACAUGAUUUUAUGCAUGUAUUUCCAUCUUCCUGUUUCAACCCCUAUAUAUAAAGGCUGUUGAAUUAGUUUACUGUGGAUAAGUUAUUUUUAAUAAAUUUUAUUCUUGUCUGAUUAGUUAAUAAUAUUGACUUUUAUUAUCCAUAUAAGGAUGUGCUUUAAUUUUAAUUAGAUUGAUAAAAGGCCAAAAGUUUAUAAAAUUAGUUAAUUACAAUUGUUCAAAUAUUAAGUUUUGUUUAACUUCAGGAAUUUUGAAUGGAGGCGUUUAUUUUAAGUGUAUACAUAUGAUUGAUCAUAGGAUAUCAGAAUAAGGUUUAAAUUAGACCCUCAUAAAAUAUUCUUUAUUGAAUUAGGUGGGCUUAAGAUCAUCUCAAUUUGUUUACUUUAUUGUCUCGACAUUAGGUGAGGAUUAUAUGUUUGUGGUUAUAUUCAUGUAUGUUUUUAUAUGCUCUUAUUUCAUGUUUGAAUAUACUUCUCACCAUGUUUAGAUACAUGUUCAGUUUAUCAUGUCCAAAUACAUGAUUAGAAAUUCAGUCAUGUAGAGAUAUAUGUUCAGUUUAUCAUGUCCAGAUACAUGAUCAGAAAUUCAGCCAUGUAGAGAUACAUGUUCAGUUUAUCAUGUCCAGAUACAUGAUAAAAAAAUACAGACCAUAUAGAAGUAUAUCAUGUCCACAUACAUGAUCAAUUUCAGGGGCUUUUAGUUCGCCCAUUAGAUUAUUAGUAUAUGGGUUUGACAAUGUGAAUUAUUUGCAUGUUUAAGCGUAUGUGAAUAUAUGCAUGGUUUCUCACUAAGUAUAUUUUCAAUAUGCUCACCCCUUAUCUUUUCAAUUUUGCAGUUCUGGAGUCGAGAUGGCCAUGAAAGUCGAGAAUGACUAGAGAGUAAGUAUUGACAUUUUUUAACAUUUAAGUUGAACUCGUUAUUAUUUAUUUUACUUUAGUUUACCGUUCUUUUUUUUAUUUCAUGUUACAACGUUUAGUUUUGGCAAGAUGAUUUUUAAAUUAGGUUAAGUUUUUUUUUAGAUUGAAGAAUUUUUCUUUCCUAUCUAUCGCUAUUUUAAAUUGCAAAGUUUAUGAAAAUUGGGGUGUUGCAUAGUGGUAUCAGAGCGGGUCUACAUUCCUGUAAACUCAUGUUUAAAAAAAAAAUUGGCUUCCAAAAGGUUAAGUAAGCCUAGUCAUUCGAAACUCAUGCGCUUCAUCGACUCCAAGGUAUGUGCUCUAAUUAGGGCUAUCAAACCUAGCGGGCCGGGCUGGCCCGGCCCAAUCCGGCGGGCCUAGGCAAUUUUUUGGGCCGGGUCGGGUCGGCCCAAAAUUUCAGCGGGCCGCUAAUAUUGAAGCCCAGCCCAGCCCAGCACGGGCCGCCGGGCGGGCCGGGCCAAAACGGGCCAAAUUCUUAUAAGUAAAGUUUUAACUUAUUAUAUUUUCAAUCAUCACGUAAUCACGUUUCCAUCUUGAAUAUUGAUAAAUGAUAAGCAAGUUUAAAAAACAUUCAUGUUUAAAAUAAAAUGCUUUUGAAAAGCAAAAGGUGAAUCAUCAUUCAUCACCUAUUCACGUUUAAAUCAGCAAGUUUUGCUUUUCUUAUUCAUCUUUAUUCUUUAAUUUGAUAGCUAAAUUAGAAAUUAUUUUAAUAUUAAGUACUAUAAUAUUAAAUGACUAAGUGAGAAUUUAAAUCUUAAUUUCAAUUUGCAAUCAAACGACUUGGACAAACUUUUUUUGGGCUUGGACUCUUGGAGGAAUGAUGAUUAAUGAAUUUAAAAUUGCCUAUAACUGACGGGCCAAUUUAGGCCCGAAAGCCCAACGGGCUUUUUGGCCCACGGGCCGCGUGACCCGGCAGGCCGUGUGGGUCGGGCCAGGGAGGCCCGAUUUUUUUUGGGCCUUGGAAAUUCUAUCCCAGCCCGGCCAAAACUACGGGCGGGCCGGGCCAAUUUCGGCAAAUUUUGACAGCUCUAGUUCUAAUUGUUCAAGUAUAUGGCAGUUAUGAUGUUUUACAUGACAUAUUUUAUAAUGCUUUUAUGUUCUAGUACUAUUAUGUUUAGCUCCGUUAGAAAUAAUUGGAAUUAUGAAAUUGUUUAGAUGACACGAAUGAAGCAUGAUUAGAAAUUUCGAGGACGAAAUUAUUUUUAAGUGGGAUAGGUUGUAACACCCCAAGUAUUUAGCUUAUUAUAAAAGUCGAAUUAUUAGUAUUUUUUAUAGCUUAUUUUUUUUAAUUACAUAAUACAAAUAGAUAUGUAUCAAUAAUUUUAUUUAGAAUAUUAUUAUUAUUAAUAUAUAUGAUUCCUAUUAGAAUUAGAACUCUUUCAUCAUCUUUAUUUUUAUCUUAUUAGGAGAUAUACAUAGAAUACAAUCUUUAUACUUAUCAAACUAGUGUGUAACCCGUCGAAUGUCGACGGGUAUUACUUACUGUUAUAAUUUAUAUAAAAAAGAUGUAGAAAUUAUUUUAUACUUUAUAUGGAGAUUAUUUGAUGUUAUAGUUUAUAAAUAAAAAGUUCACUUCCCUUUUGUAAUAUAUUUAUAAAUGAUGAAUAUUAUUCAAUAAAAUAAGUGUUAACAUGACAUAGGUCUACAUUACUACCAAACUAAAAUGAAAAAAUAAAUUAAAGAGGACACCCGCUACCCGUCGGAUACCCCCACCCACUACCCAUCGGAUACCCGCCGAGGCUUGAGAGGUAGGAGCGCUGCUACUUCUCGGCGUCGACAUCCUACAAUCAACCACCCAACAAAUGCAAUAAGCCACCCAACAAAUAAAUUACCACGAAACUGCAGCAAAUUUUAAAGAAAAUUUCAACUUCUUAUACACUACUAUUUGCCUCCCAUACUUGCGACCCGCGGGUACCUGCUACCCGUCGGAUACUCGCCACCCGCUACCCGUUGGAUACCCGUUGAGACUCGAGAGGUAGGGGCGCUGUUGCUUCUCGACGUCGACAUGACAAAACNNNNNNNNNNNNNNNNNNNNNNNNNNNNNNNNNNNNNNNNNNNNNNNNNNNNNNNNNNNNNNNNNNNNNNNNNNNNNNNNNNNNNNNNNNNNNNNNNNNNNNNNNNNNNNNNNNNNNNNNNNNNNNNNNNNNNNNNNNNNNNNNNNNNNNNNNNNNNNNNNNNNNNNNNNNNNNNNNNNNNNNNNNNNNNNNNNNNNNNNNNNNNNNNNNNNNNNNNNNNNNNNNNNNNNNNNNNNNNNNNNNNNNNNNNNNNNNNNNNNNNNNNNNNNNNNNNNNNNNNNNNNNNNNNNNNNNNNNNNNNNNNNNNNNNNNNNNNNNNNNNNNNNNNNNNNNNNNNNNNNNNNNNNNNNNNNNNNNNNNNNNNNNNNNNNNNNNNNNNNNNNNNNNNNNNNNNNNNNNNNNNNNNNNNNNNNNNNNNNNNNNNNNNNNNNNNNNNNNNNNNNNNNNNNNNNNNNNNNNNNNNNNNNNNNNNNNNNNNNNNNNNNNNNNNNNNNNNNNNNNNNNNNNNNNNNNNNNNNNNNNNNNNNNNNNNNNNNNNNNNNNNNNNNNNNNNNNNNNNNNNNNNNNNNNNNNNNNNNNNNNNNNNNNNNNNNNNNNNNNNNNNNNNNNNNNNNNNNNNNNNNNNNNNNNNNNNNNNNNNNNNNNNNNNNNNNNNNNNNNNNNNNNNNNNNNNNNNNNNNNNNNNNNNNNNNNNNNNNNNNNNNNNNNNNNNNNNNNNNNNNNNNNNNNNNNNNNNNNNNNNNNNNNNNNNNNNNNNNNNNNNNNNNNNNNNNNNNNNNNNNNNNNNNNNNNNNNNNNNNNNNNNNNNNNNNNNNNNNNNNNNNNNNNNNNNNNNNNNNNNNNNNNNNNNNNNNNNNNNNNNNNNNNNNNNNNNNNNNNNNNNNNNNNNNNNNNNNNNNNNNNNNNNNNNNNNNNNNNNNNNNNNNNNNNNNNNNNNNNNNNNNNNNNNNNNNNNNNNNNNNNNNNNNNNNNNNNNNNNNNNNNNNNNNNNNNNNNNNNNNNNNNNNNNNNNNNNNNNNNNNNNNNNNNNNNNNNNNNNNNNNNNNNNNNNNNNNNNNNNNNNNNNNNNNNNNNNNNNNNNNNNNNNNNNNNNNNNNNNNNNNNNNNNNNNNNNNNNNNNNNNNNNNNNNNNNNNNNNNNNNNNNNNNNNNNNNNNNNNNNNNNNNNNNNNNNNNNNNNNNNNNNNNNNNNNNNNNNNNNNNNNNNNNNNNNNNNNNNNNNNNNNNNNNNNNNNNNNNNNNNNNNNNNNNNNNNNNNNNNNNNNNNNNNNNNNNNNNNNNNNNNNNNNNNNNNNNNNNNNNNNNNNNNNNNNNNNNNNNNNNNNNNNNNNNNNNNNNNNNNNNNNNNNNNNNNNNNNNNNNNNNNNNNNNNNNNNNNNNNNNNNNNNNNNNNNNNNNNNNNNNNNNNNNNNNNNNNNNNNNNNNNNNNNNNNNNNNNNNNNNNNNNNNNNNNNNNNNNNNNNNNNNNNNNNNNNNNNNNNNNNNNNNNNNNNNNNNNNNNNNNNNNNNNNNNNNNNNNNNNNNNNNNNNNNNNNNNNNNNNNNNNNNNNNNNNNNNNNNNNNNNNNNNNNNNNNNNNNNNNNNNNNNNNNNNNNNNNNNNNNNNNNNNNNNNNNNNNNNNNNNNNNNNNNNNNNNNNNNNNNNNNNNNNNNNNNNNNNNNNNNNNNNNNNNNNNNNNNNNNNNNNNNNNNNNNNNNNNNNNNNNNNNNNNNNNNNNNNNNNNNNNNNNNNNNNNNNNNNNNNNNNNNNNNNNNNNNNNNNNNNNNNNNNNNNCAAAAGUUCAAUCUCGUGAAAUUUUUGGCCCAUCUAUUAAGAGCGAAAAAUAACUUGCCCCAAAAAAAAAAAAAAAGAAGAAGUGAAAUGUGAAAUGUGAAAAAUGAACGAAUGUGAAAAGGAACGAGAUAUGAUUAUUAAGGAAAUUGCAUUAGGAAAUUCACCCCUAGCGGAGAAUUGGGUCUGAUCGGAUUGAGUUGUAUCACCUUGUUGUUGCAUUUUUAAACCUUAGCUGUGAACACUUGAUUGGGGACAUUGAUAUCUUGAAAGACUUGGAUUGGUUGGUGUUUUGCUUGGUGAGAAGAAUCGCUUGUGGAUUUUCUGUUGGUGUUGUGAUUGUUGCUUGAGGACAAGCAAUGAUUUAAGUGUGGGGGGUUGUUUACCUCGUUUUUUGAUAGUAUUUGCGAGUGUUUCUGCUGUGCAUUCGAGCAUGUUUCGUUUCUUUUUGCUCUAUUUUUCACGUGCUCGAUGACUAUUUGGGUGUGCUACUGUAGUGUGCAGGAAUCGGGAGUUGUUGAGCGUUUUGGCAGUGUUGGGAGCAAAUUUUGGAAUCAGGCUCACGGCGGCCGCCGUCAAGACGCCGGCCGCGGCCCCACGGCGCGCGCCGUGCAAUUCUGUGGAAGAUUCAGUGAAGGCAGUCCACAGCGGCGCCGUCCCACGGCGGCCGCCGUCCCUGGCGUUUUCGGCAGUUACGUUUUUUCCGUUUAAAAGCCCAUUUUUAGGGUUUUCACCCCACUCUCGACCCCAGCAGCCUCUAAGGCAAUUUCCACACCUUUUUCCUUGGUUUUUAGAGAUUCUAAACACAAACAAUAGCUCUUGGAUUCAUUGGAUUACAGUUCAUGCCAAUUUUCACUCCGUUGGAUUAGUUUAUUUGGAUCAUACUCUUUUGUAAGAAUUCACUUGCUUUCUCUUUAGUUUAUUGAAUCCUUUGGUUUGUCUCCGUAUUUGUUUAUGCUUUUGAUGAUUGAUAGAUCUAGAUUAUUUUCUAUGAUGUGGAUGAUUGUUGAUGAUUUAAGUACUUGGUUUGUUCUUUGUUGAUCGUUGACGAAUGCUCUUUGAUUGUAUGUUGAGGAAUCUUUCUAAAGAACAAUUAGAGUUCGGUUUGAAUUUGAAUUUGAUGCUUGAUGUUGUUUUCAUGCCUCGGUAGUGAUUAAUCGUUGUUUAUGGGUUUAUGAUCGUUCGGUUUGGAGUGCUAGAUUACAACCCUAGUUUGAUAAGUUUAAUGUUUAAUCUCUACGUUCUAGUUGCUACAUAUCUACUGCCAAUUAAUGUUUAUUGCUUUCUUUCAAUUAUGUCUUGGUGAUUAGAAGAGCGAGAUAGUGCCAGACCCAACUUCCCGAUUAGAGUGUUUAGGUUUUCUUUCUGUCUCUUGUGAGUAGCACAAUUAAAGCCCUGCUAAGCCUUCCGUAUGAGACGACUUGAGUCACCUUACUGCACUAGGACAACCUCGUAUAAAUUCGAGUCCAUCCGUUAGGUGUUUUUGGAUGAGUCACUUAUAUAAGGUAAUUAUUAUAUAAUAACACUAUAUAAUAAACAAUUAUAUAAUUCGAUUAUAUUAAAUUGUAUAUUACAUUUUGUUCAGUUUUAUAUAAUUUGAUUAUAUUUAUAUUAUCUCUCAUACAUGUAUAUUCAUAUAUUAUAUUAAAAUGUAUAAUAAACUACAUAGAUUACAUACAUCAUUCUACAAUAUUAUUAAUCAAUAACUUUAAAAAAAAAAAAAAUCCAAAUUAAAAUCAACAAACAAAAAUAAAAAGAGUAAAUAUAUAAAACUGUCCACUUUCAUAUUAUAAAGAUAAAAAAUGUCCACUAAGAUAAAAAUAAUAAAAACUGUCCACUUUGUGGUUGAAAGGACAGAAAUGCCCCUCAGCCUAAAAUAGCCCAUUUCAUCUCCUCUCCCUCAUUCACGGUUUUACUCUCCCUCCCCCGUCUCUCUCUCUCUCUUCCUUCGAGCUCAGAUCGCCGGCGAAGCGCCGCUGCCCCAGCCUCGUCGCCUCCGCCAUCUCCUGCUUUACCCCCCGCCGCGACAUUAGCCUCCGCCCGCCACCAAUUCUUUCGAAGCAGAGGAGGAUGAGUGCGGUGGCGCUUCGAGUUCCGCGAGGUUUUCCCCCUUCGCCGCCAGCGAUUCGGCGUCCUUGUUGCCGAUUUUCAAUUUUCCGGUCAUCUUCUACGCAGAUCUAGGGUUGAGCUUUAAGUGAAGGCACGGCGGUGGCACAAUUCAGAGGUGAGGAAUUGCUGGCGAAGCCUCUCUCUCUGAAAUCAAAUUCGAAUGGGGGGAAUUGCUGCUAACCUUUCUCUCUCUACAAUUCACUGCGCAAUUCAUUUUUCUUCUUUGGAACUCUCUUCUGAAAGACAAUUUUUUGUGAGGUGAUUGUUAUAAUGUGCUAGGGCUUGGUUGCCAAUUUUUUCUUUAUGGUUGAAUGAUACUUUGUCUCGUUGUAUGAAUUUGAUUGAUUGUGAAUUGUUACUCCUUUGUUUCAUCAUUGCUAGCUUUCACAAAUAUAAUCUUUUAAGCUGUUCAAUUUUGUUAUUUCUGGCUCUGUGUAGAAGGAAUUUGAUUACCAUUAUGAUCUUGAAAUGUUCUCAGUUUCCUAAUCAUGUGAUGUUUUGAGCUUGGUCGCAUGAUAUUUUGUUAUGUAGAUCAAUAUCGACAUUCUGUUUUGAUCUUUCAAUGAGAAAAUUGUGAUCCUUUGAGCUUGAUUUAUUUUGUUAUUUCUGCCUCCAUCUCUCAUCCCAAACAAGGAGAAUGUAUGUUGAUUGAGAGAGAUAGUUUGGCC
rnacentral:lncRNA from 1 species